rnacentral:lncRNA from 1 species
AUAAUUAUUCCUCCACCUGACAGCAAGGACCCACCGAAUGGGUGAUGACCCACAAGUAUAGGGGAUCUAUCGUAGUCCUUUCGAUAAGUAAGAGUGUCGAACCCAACGAGGAGCAGAAGGACAUGAUAAGCGGUUUUCAGCAAGGUAUUCUCUGCAAGUACUGAAAUAAGUGGUAACAGAUAGUUUUGUGAUAGGAUAAAUUAUAACGAGUAACAAGUAACAAAAGUAAAUAAAGUGCAGCAAGGUGGCCCAAUCCUUUUUGUAGACAAGGACAAGCCUGGACAAACUCUUAUAAUAGGAAAAGCGCUCCCGAGGACACAUGGGAAUAUCAUCAAGCUAGUUUUCAUCACGCUCAUAUGAUUCGCGUUCGGUACUUUGAUAAUUUGAUAUGUGGGUGGACCGGUGCUUGGGUACUGCCCUUACUUGGACAAGCAUCCCACUUAUGAUUAACCUCUAUUGCAAGCAUCCGCAACUACAACAAAAGUAUUAAGGUAAACCUAACCAUAGCAUGAAACAUAUGGAUCCAAAUCAGCCCCUUACGAAGCAAUGCAUAAACUAGGGUUUAAGCUUCUGUCACUCUAGCAACCCAUCAUCUACUUAUUACUUCCCAAUGCCUUCCUCUAGGCCCAAAUACAAACAUGAAGGCAUCAUGAUUACUUCAUAACAGCAACUUAUAUAAAUUUUGUCAUAUGAUUACUUAUGUUCUGGUGAUGAUCUUUUCACAAAGCCAAAGUAUGAAUCAGAAACCUUAUUGGGCACCAACAAUUAUAAUCUCAGUCAUUUUAUCAUAACACCAGAAAGAGUCUAUGUCAGAGCUUAAAAGCAAGUCCACAUACGCAACUAUCACUUGGUCCUUCAUAAUUGCUAACACUCACGCGAUACUUGUGGUUACAGAGUUUUAAUCGGACACAGAGAAAGAUAGGGGCUUAUAGUUUUUGCCACACAACCUUUUACCUCAAGGGUAAUGUCAACAAUAAUAAUUCACACUCCCCCACAUCCAAUUAGAUAUAUAUAUCAUGUUCUUUUCAACAUGCUGAGCUUGCCAAAGGAUAAAAUGAAAAAGGAAGGGUGAAGAUCACCGUGACUCUUGCAUAGGGUAGAGGAUAAUAAUAAAAGAUAGACCCUUCGCAGAGGGAAGCAGAGGUUGUCAUGCGCGUUUAGGGUUGAUGCACAAAAUCUUAAUGCAAAAGAACGUCACUUUAUAUUGCCCCUUGCAUGUGAAACUUUAUUAUGCAGUCCGUCGCUUUUAUUGCAUCCACAACAAGUUCGUACAAAGCUUAUUUCUCUGCACUAAUAAGUCAUGCAUAUUUAGAGAGCAAUUUUUUAUUGCUUGCACCGAUGACAACUUACUUGAAGGAUCUUACUCAAUCCAUAGGUAGAUAUGGUGGACUCUCAUGGCAAAACUGGUUUAAGGGUAUUUGGAAGCACAAGUAGUAUUUCUACUUAGUGCUGAAGAUUGGCUAGCAUGAGGGGGAAAGGCAAACUCAACACGGUAGAGGAACCAUGACAACAUACUUUAUCUCAGAUGUAAGAGAACAUAACUCAUUAUGUUGUAUUCCUUGUCCAACAUGAACUCUUUAGCAUGUCAUAUUUUAAUGACUGCUCCCAAUCAUAAAAGAUGUCAAUGAUAAUAUAUCUAUAUUUGAAACAUCUCUUUCCCUUAUUACUUCCUAUUAAUUGCAAUGAUGACCAAAGCUAUAUUUGCCAACUCCUAACAACUUUAAAUCAUCAUACUCUUUCUAUGUGAAGUCAUUACUUUCAAUAAGAUCAAUAUGAACUCUUGAUUCUUUUUAUUCUUUUUCUUCUAAUCACCCAAGAUCAUGGCAAAAUACUCAAGCCCUUGACUCAACACUAAUCUUUAUUAUAUAGCUCACGGACUUGAUUACAAAGAAAGAUCAUAAAGCAAAACUCAAAACUAGAUCAUGCCAUGACUUUAUUCUACUAAAUCAAGAUACUACUAAUAGGAUUGAACUAAGAAAAACGGUAAAGAUAGGAGUUGUGAUGGUGAUACGAUACCAGGGCACCUCCCCCAAGCUUGGCAGUUGCCAAGGGGAGUGCACAUAUGAUUAUGUCUCCUUCUUUGUUGUUGGUGGUGGAGGUGUUGGUGAUGAUGGAGUUGUUGCGUUUUUCUUCUCUAGCUUGCGUCUGAGGCUAAAAUUUUCAUCCCUCAGAUCCUCAUUCUCGAGCUCAAGCUUCAUUUUCUUUUUGCAUAGUGCUGCCUUGUUGUCCUGCAGAAAACGAGGUGGGAUAGAUUGGACCUUAUGGAGGCUUGACUUCUUGAACUCCACAUGCAUAUCACCAGGUUGAGGUAGGGGAUAGUCCGCUUUGUCGGAACUCGUUUCCUCCUUCCUCUUUGGAUCAUAGUCUUCUUCUUCCUCCGUGGUCCAGCCAUAAUGCUCCACAUCCCCAUAUGCCUUGGGAUUUGCAAUAUAAUCAGCCAUGUAACUCUCUCCCUCAGAAUCUUGGGAAGACAUCUUGCUCUAAUCUGCAGCAGCAACAGCUCGAAACGAAAACAGAGGAUAUUUGCGUGAUACGAGAGUCAAAACCUUCGGGACUAUAUAUAAUGAAUUUUUACCGACCAAAAUAUGUAUCGUGCAAGGAAACGGAGUGCAGAGGGCACACGAGGUGCUCACGAGGUAGGGGGCGCGCCCUCCACCCUCGUGGAGGCCUCGUGUCCUCCCCGGACUGCUACUUAUUUUUUUAUUUUUCUAAAUAUUCCAAAACGGAGAAAUAUUGCAUUAAAAAUUGUUUUGGAGUCGGUUUACUUACUGUACCACAUACCUAUUCCUUUUCGGGGUCUGGAACGUUCUGGAAAGUGUCCCUUAUGUAUUCCUCCGGGGUUACGGUUUCAAUAAUAUAAGUUUCAACAUUUAUAGGAUUACCUAAGAUAUAGUGUUUGAUCCUUUGACCGUUUACCACCUUCGGAUUUGUGCCUGCGAAGUUGUUGAUUUUUAUGGCACCGGAACGAUAGACCUCCUCAAUAACGUAAGGACCUUCCCAUUUGGAGAGAAGUUUUCCUGCAAAAAAUCUUAAACGAGAGUUGUAUAGCAAUACAUAAUCACCUACAUUAAACUCAUGCUUUUGUAUCCUUUUGUCAUGCCAUCUUUUAACUUUUUCUUGAAACAACUUGGCAUUUUCAUAAGCUUGGGUUCUCCAUUCAUCAAGUGAGCUAAUAUCAAAUAACCUCUUCUCACUGGCAAGUUUGAAAUCAUAGUUGAGCUCUUUAAUAGCCCAAUAUGCCUUAUGUUCUAGUUCGGGAGGUAAAUGACAUGCUUUUCCAUAAACCAUUUUAUACGGAGACAUACCCAUAGGAUUUUUAUAUGCAGUUCUAUAGGCCCAUAAUGCAUCAUCCAGUUUUUUGGACCAAUUCUUUCAGGACCUAUUGACAGUCUUUUGCAAAAUUAAUUUGAGCUCUCUAUUGCUCAAUUCUACCUGACCACUAAACUGCGGGUGAUAUGGAGAUGCAAUUCUAUGAUUAACGUCAUAUUUAGCAAGCAUCUUACAGAAAGCACCAUGAAUAAAGUGUGAACCGCCAUCAGUCAUUAAGUAUCUAGGGACUCCAAACCUCGGAAAAAUAACUUCCUUAAGCAUUUUAAUAGAAGUGUUAUGAUCAGCACUACUAGUUGGAAUAGCUUCUACCCACUUAGUAACGUAAUCAACAACAACUAAAAUAUGAGUGUAACCCUUAGAGGUAGGAAAAGGUCCCAUAUAACCAAAGCCCCAAACAUCAAAUGGCUCAAUAACAAGUGAAUAAUUCAUAGGCAUUUCUUGACGUCUACGGAUAUUACCAAUUCUUUGACAUUCAUCACAAGACAAAACAAACUUACGGGCAUCCUUGAAGAGAGUAGGCCAAUAAAAGCCAGAUUGCAAUACCUUAUGUGCAGUUCUAUCUCCAGCGUGGUGUCCUCCAUAGGCUUCGGAGUGACACUUGCGUAGGAUAUGUUCCUGUUCAUGCUCAGGUGCACAACGUCUAAUAACACCAUCUACUCCUUCUUUAUAAAGAUUUGGGUCAUCCCAAAAGUAAUGUCGCAAGUCGUAGAAAAACCUUUUCUUUUGUUGGUAUGUGAAGCUAGGCGGUAUAAAUUUAGCAACAAUAUAAUUAGCAUAAUCAGCAUACCAAGGAGUGCUAUGAGAAGUACUUAUGACAUUUAAUUGCUCAUCAGGAAAGCUAUCAUCAAUAGGUAGUGGGUCAUCAAGAACAUUCUCUAGCCUAGACAAGUUGUCUGCAACGGGGUUCUCAGCUCCUUUUCUAUCAACAAUAUGUAAAUAAAAUUCUUGAAGCAAGAGAACCCAUCUAAUGAGUCUAGGUUUUGCAUCUUUCUUUUCCAUAAGAUAUUUAAUAGCAGCAUGGUCUGUGUGAAUAGUUACUCUAGAAUCAACAAUAUAGGGUCUAAAUUUAUCACAAGAAAAUACAACCGCUAAAAGUUCCUUUUCGGUAGUAGCAUAAUUUCUUUGAGCAUUGUCUAGAGUCUUACUAGCAUAAUGGAUAACAUUCAAUUUCUUAUCAACUCUUUGCCCUAGAACAGCACCUACAGCAUAAUCACUAGCAUCACACAUAAUUCCAAAGGGUAAAUUCCAAUCAGGUGGCUGAACAACAGGUGCAGAGACUAAUGCUUUCUUAAGUAUUUCAAAUUCUUCUACACAAUCAUCAUCAAAGACAAAUGGUACAUCUUUUUGUAAUAAAUUAGUCAGAGGCCGAGAGAUUUUUUGAGAAGUCCUUGAUGAACCUCCUAUAAAAUCUGGCGUGACCAAGGAAACUUCUUAUACCUUUGAUGACCUUGGGACAUGGCAUCUUUUCAAUAGCAUCAACCUUGGCUUUAUCAACUUCAAUACCUCUUUCAAAAACUUUGUGCAAGACAAUACCUUCAUUAACCAUAAAGUGGCACUUUUCCCAAUUCAAGACAAGAUUAGUUUCUUCACAUCUCUGCAAAACUCGAGCAAGAUUGCUCAAGCAAUCAUCAAAAGUGGAACCAUAGACGGAAAAGUCGUCCAUGAAAACCUCACAAAUUUUCUCGCAAAAGUCAGAGAAUAUAGCCAUCACGCAUCUUUGAAAGGUAGCAGGUGCAUUACAUAAACCAAAAGGCAUCCGUCUAUAAGCAAAAGUACCAAAAGGGCAUGUAAAAGUAGUCUUUGAUUGAUCUUUAGCCGACACAGGUAUUUGAGAAAAACCAGAAUAACCAUCUAGAAAGCAAUAAUGUGUAUGUUUGCAUAGUCUUUCUAGUAUUUGAUCAAUAAAAGGUAAGGGUUAAUGAUAUUUCUUAGUAGCCUUAUUUAAUUUGCGGAAAUCAAUUACCAUCCUAUAACAUGUGAUAAUUCUUUGCGGAAUCAAUUCAUCUUUAUCAUUAGGGACAACAGUAAUACCUCCCUUCUUAGGGACACAAUGGACAGGACUUACCCACUGACUAUCAGCAACGGGAUAAAUUAUACCUGCCUCCAGAAGCUUGAGUAUUUUUUUCUUACCACUUCUUUCAUUUUAGGAUUCAAACGUCGUUGAGGAUCACAAACUGGUUUGGCAUCAGCUUCCAAAUUUAUUUUAUGUUGACAUAGAGUGGGACUGAUGCCCUUAAGAUCAUCCAGAGUAUAUCCAAUAGCGGCACGAUGCUUCUUCAGAGUUUUCAAUAAUCUUUCUUCUUCAUGCUCUGAAAGGUUAGCGCUAAUAAUAACAGGAUAUAUUUUCUUUUCAUCAAGAUAAGCAUAUUUAAGAUUAUCAGGCAACGGUUUAAGCUCAAACACGGGAUCACCCUUGGGUGGAGGAGGAUCCCCUAGGAUUUCAACAGGCAAAUUGUGUUGCAGAAUAGGUUCCUGUUUAAAGAAUAAUUCAUCUAUUUCCCUUCUUUCAUUUAUGAACAUAUCAUUUUCAUGGUCUAGCAAAUAGUGUUCUAAAGGAUCACUAGGAGGUACAGCAAUAGAAGCAAGACCAAUAAUUUCAUCCUUACUAGGAAAUUCCUCCUCACGAUGUUGUUUACUAAAUUUAGAGAAAUUAAACUCAUGGACCAUAUCAUCCAAGCCAACAGUAACAACAUUCUUUUUGCAAUCUAUCUUAGCAUUAACGGUACGCAAGAAGGGUCUACCAAAUAUAAUGGGGCAAAAACUAUCUUGUGGAGAACCGAGAACAAGAAAAUCAGCGGGAUAUUUGGUUUUCCCACACAAGACUUCAACAUAUCUAACAAUUCCCAUUGGAGAUAUAGUAUCUCUAUUGGCUAGUUUAAUUGUAACAUCAAUAUCUUCUAACUCAGCAGGUGCAAUCUCAUGCAUAAUUUCUUUGUAUAAUUCAAUGGGUAUAACACUAGCACUAGCACCCAUAUCACAUAAGCCAUCAUAACAAUGAUCUCCUAUUUUAACAGAAAUAACAGGCAUGCCUACCACAGGUCUAUGUUUAUAUCUAUCACAGGGUUUAGCAAUUCUAGCAGUUUCACCAGUGAAUUGAAUAACAUGCCCAUCAAUAUUAUCAUACAAGAGAUAUUUAACAAUAGCAAUAUUGGGUUCUACUUUGACUUGCUCGGGAGGUGUAUAAGUCCUAGUAUUGCUUUUACGAACAACAGUUGAAGCUUUAGCAUGAUCCUUCAUUCUAACAGGGAAAGGAGGUUUCUCAACAUAAGAAGUAGGAACAAUAGGAUCAUUAUAAGUGACAAUCUUUGCUUCAGCUUUAAUAGGUGCAGCUACUUUUACUUCUAUGGGAGGAUGAUAUUUAAACCACUUCUCCUUGGGGAGAUCAACAUAAGUAGCAAAAGAUUCACAGAAAUAAGCUACUAUCUCAGAGUCAAGUCCAUAUUUAGUGCUAAACUUGCGGAAAAUAUCGGUAUCCAUAAAAGAUUUAACACAAUCAAACUUAGGUGUCAUACCUGACUUCUUACCUUCGUUGAGGUCCCAAUCUUCAGAGUUGCGUUUAAUUCUAUCCAAUAAAUUCCAUCCAAAUUCAAUAGACUUCAUCAUAAAAGAGCCAGCAUAAGAAGUGUCGAGCAUGUUGCGAUUAUUUUCAGAAAGCCGAGCAUAAAAAUUCUGAAGAAUUGUCAAUUUUGAGAGUUCAUGAUUGGGGCAUGAAUAUAACAUUGAUUUAAGCCUCCCCCAAGCUUGAGCAAUGCUUUCUCCUUCACGAGGCCAAAAAUUAUAUAUAUAAUUGCGAUCACGAUGAACAAGAUGCAUAGGGUAAUACUUUUGAUGAAAUUCCAUUUUCACUCUUUUAUAGUUCCAUGACCUCGUAUCAUCACAUAGCCUAUACCAUGUCAAUGCGUCUCCCUCCAAAGAUAAAGGGAAAGCCUUCUUCUUAACAACAUCAUAGGGUAUACCUACAAGCUUAAAUAGUCCACAAAUAUCAUCCACAAAGCGUAGAUGUUCGUCAGGAUGCUUUGUUCCAUCUCCUGCAAAAGUGUUAGCUAGCAGUUUUUCCAUCAUACCCGAAGGAAUUUGAAAAGCAGUUUCAUCUACAAUAGAUUCAGUAGGUUCAGUAGGUUGAGGAGCAACUCUUGGCUCAACCGGACGGGGUGAAGAUACCCCGAACAAGCCCCUCAAACAAUUACUUUCCAUAGUAACAAGUGCUAGAAAAUUUUAGCACACUAAAUAAAUUUUUUCCUUACCAAAGGCGCUUCACUCCCUGGCAACGGCACCAGAAAAGAGUCUUGAUGACCCACAAGUAUAGGGGAUCUAUCGUAUUCCUUUCGAUAAGUAAGAGUGUCGAACCCAACGAGGAGCAGAAGGAAAUGAUAAGCGGUUUUCAGCAAGGUAUUCUGUGCAAGUACUGAAAUAAGUGGUAACAAAUAGUUUUGUGAUAGGAUAAAUUGUAACGAGUAACAAGUAACAAAAGUAAAUAAAGUGCAGCAAGGUGGCCCAAUCCUUUUUGUAGCAAAGUGCAAGCCUGGACAAACUCUUAUAAUAGGCUCCCGAGGACACAUGGGAAUAUCGUCAAGCUAGUUUUCAUCACGCUCAUAUGAUUCGCGUUCUGUACUUUGAUAAUUUGAUAUGUGGGUGGACCGGUGCUUGGGUACUGCCCUUACUUGGACAAGCAUCCCACUUAUGAUUAACCUCUAUUGCAAGCAUCCGCAACUACAACAAAAGUAUUAAGGUAAACCUAACCAUAGCAUGAAACAUAUGGAUCCAAAUCAGCCCCUUACGAAGCAACGCAUAAACUAGGGUUUAAGCUUCUGUCACUCUAGCAACCCAUCAUUUACUUAUUACUUCCCAAUGCCUUCCUCUAGGCCCAAAUAAUGGUGAAGUGUUAUGUAGUCGAUGUUCACAUAACACCACUAGAGGUUAGACAACAUACAUCUUAUCAAAAUAUCGAACGUAUACCAAAUUCACAUGACUACUAAUAGCAAGACUUCUCCCUUGUCCUCAGGAACAAACAUAACUACUCACAAAGCAUAUUCAUGUUCAUAAUCAGAGGGGUAAUAUUGUGCAUAAAGGAUCUGAACAUAUGAUCUUCCACCAAAUAAACCAACUAGCAUCAACUACAAGGAGUAAUCAACACUACUAGCAACCUACUAGCACCAAUCCCAGACUUGGAGACAAGAAUUGGAUACAAGAGAUGAUCUAGGGUUUGGAGAUGAGAUGGUGCUGGUGAAGAUGUUGAUGGAGAUUGCCCUCUCCCGAUGAGAGGAGCGUUGGUGAUGACGAUGGUGAUGAUUUCCCCCUCCCGGAGGGAAGUGUCCCCGACAGAACAGCUCUGCCGGAGCCCUAGAUUGGUUCCGCCAAGGUUCCGCCUCAUGGCGGCGGAGUCUUGUCCCGAAAGGUUCUCUUCUAUUUUUUUCUCAUCGAAAGACUUCAUAUGGGAGAAGAUGGGCGUCGGAGAGCCACCAGGGGGGGCACGAGGUAGGGGGCGCCCCCCCCCACCCUCGUGAGCAGGGUGUGGGCCCCCUGGCCUUCAUCUUUGGCGACGAUUUUUCUUUAUUUAUUUUAAGGUAUUCCGUGGAGUUUCAGGACUUUUGGAUUUGCGCAGAAUAGUCCUUCAAUAUUUGCUUCUUUUCCAGCCCGGAAUUCCAGCUGCCGGCAUUCUCCCUCUUCAUGUAAACCUUGUAAAAUAAGAGAGAAUAACCAUAAGUAUUGUGACAUAACGUGAAAUAACAGCCCAUAAUGCAAUAAAUAUCGAUAUAAAAGCAUGAUGCAAAAUGGACGUAUCAAAGGGUCACCUUAUUUCACGAAAAAAAUAUUUCCCCCUGACUGCUGGGACCCACCGGAUUGUCCAUCGUAUUUCGCGAAAAAAACAUUCCCCCCGCUGUCAGCUCGGACCCACCGGAAGUGCCUCUUUAUUACGCACAAAAAAUGAAUACUCCCCCUGCUAGCUGGGACCCACCUUGGUGGGAGGCUGACUUGUGGGCCUACUAAGUUGACGGGGACGGAGGGCUUUGUCAACUUAGUCAAUAUGAACGAUUCUAGCUCCAGUGACCGUACGAUGUCCAUCCAACAGCCGUAGUGCUUCUUCAACCUCUAGUCUUCUUGCUCCAGCCGCCCAAAGCAGCGCCGGUCAUGCCGCCUGCUCCUGCCUCCCGUGGCCGGCUGUGCUGCAGCGGAGGCCUCACCGCCCCCUACUAUUCCCACCGCUGGCCAGGCCCUGCGGCGACGGCAGCCUCACACCAGAGCCGAACGAGUGAACCCUCAUACUCCUCUCCGCGUGGGCAUCCACUGCCGCGUCUUCACCGGCUCCGCGUCGUCCCCUUCCUAGGCCUCGCCGUCGUCCACCGCCUGGUGCUCUCGGCGCGGCGUGGUCAAUGUGGUCAAGGAAUGACUUCCAUCGGACGUGGACUGUACGUGGAGAGGCUGACAGCUGGGUCCACGGCCGCAGCAAGGAAGUGCCUCCUUAUUACGUGGAAAAUAAUGAUUCCUCCACCUGACAGCAGGGACCCAUCGGACGGGCCACCGUAUUUUGCGAAAAAAUGUUUCCCUCCUGACUGCUGGGACCCACCAACUACACCUUCGCAUGCAAGGAAGUGCAUCGGGGCAAAAAAACAAAAAUGAUUUGCCCCCUGACUGCUGGGACCCACCAGCUACAUCUUCGCACGCAAGGAAGUGCGUCCGGGCAAAAAAAACCAAAAUGAUUUGCCCCCUGACUACUGGGACCCACUAGCUACAUCUUCGCAGGCAAGGAAGUGCCUGACAGUCGGGACCCACCUGGUCGAAGCGUACGUAGCGUUGUCAUUCUGGUCGCAAACGUGUACAUACAUAUUGGUCGAUGUAGAGGCGCGCACGUGUCGUAGUAGAGGCGCGCAACGUGUCGUAGUAGAGGCACGCACAUGGCAUGUACACGUACGUACAACGGCCAGGGUGCAAGAAAAAAAAUACGGCCACGUACGUACAUACGGGCAGGGUCUCGAACACCUACUCGCGCAUACGUACAUGGCUAGGUCGGAACGGAGAAACAACAUCGUCGUCGUGUUCAUGGGGAGGCAACAGAAUGCGUCGUGUUCAUGGGAAGGCAACGGAAUGCGUCGUGUUCAUGGGGAGGGAACGAAAUGUGCCGUGUUCAUCGGGAGGCAACGGAAUGCGCCGUGUUCAUCGGGAUGCAACGGAACGCGUGGGAGCCAACCGGCUUGGACGGAACAGGCGAUGGAAACGAGGCCUGGCGUACCGCAGAACGGAGGAAACGGACCUCCUACGGUUGAAACAGGGGUCCUGUUGAUCGGGAGGGGUGUGGUGUACCGCAAAAUAGACGAAACAGACCUCCUACGGUCGAAACGAGGGUCCUGUUGAUCGGGAGGGGUGUGGCGUACCGCAAAACGGACGAAACGGACUUGUGUUGGAGCGCUACGGUCGAAGGGGUCCUGUUCAUCGGGAGGGGUGUGGCGUACCGCAAAACGGGACUCCACGGGAUACUGUUCAUCUCCACCGUCGACCUCCUCCAGCCUCCACGGGCUACCGUCGACCUCCUCCAGCCUCCACGGGCUCCUGUUCAUCCAGCCUCCACCGCGCGCUACUCCACCGGCUACUAUUCAACCACUCCUCCACCAUCUAUUGUUCAUCCAGCCAUCCACACCAUGGGGUCCUGUUCAACCACCCCUCCACGGGCACCCCUCCAUCGUCUACUAUUCAUCCAGCCCUCCACCACACAACGGGGUCCUGUUCAUCCAGAGGCAACGCCACCACUCACUGUUCAUCCACCCCCACCCCCCCGCAACGCUCACUCUUCAUCCCAGAGGCAGCAUCGAUCGGCUUCAGUUAGCAGCAGUAGCGAAGGAAUCGCUCGAUCGGGUUCAGUUAACAGCCAUCGAUCGAUCGAGUUCAGUAAUGCGUAGCCUGCAGUGCAAUCGCCCGGGUUCAGUUAGAGCCCAACGCCUCGCUUGGGUUCAGUUAGAGCCAACGCCUCGCACACACGCGUGUACCUGUACGAGAGAAACGCGCAUCGCUCGGCCCCUGACCUCCCGCUGUAACUGGCAACUCCCCGAAAUUUUACUCCCCCUUGCUUCUACCAUGGUUUUUUCCAUCAUGGACGGCCCAAAGAAUGUCAUGCAGCUGCGUCUCCGGCCCGCCCAGGACGAAAAGCCCAUUUUCUGUCAUGAUUUUUUGUCAUAGAAGUAGGAGCCCACCACAUCUAUGAUGAUACCAGGUUUUGUCACAAUUAUCGUCAUAGAAGUGUCAUAUGUAUGACAGAAAAAAAAUUUGUUCGGCCCAAAAUGUCACGAAUGUGUCCUUUUUUGUAGUGACUAGAGCAAAACUAUCUAGCUCAAAAGAUAUAGGUGAAGCACAUAGAGUAUUCUAAUAAAUUCCAAUCAGGUGGGUUUCUCCCAAAAGGUGUGUACAGCAAGGAUGAUUGUGGUAAACUAAAAAGCAAAGACUAAUAUCAUACAAGACGCUCCAAGCAAAACACAUAUCAUGUGGCGAAUAAAAAUAUAGCUCCAAGUAAAGUUUCCGAUAGACGAAGACGAAAGAGGGGAUGCCUUCCGGAGCAUCCCCAAGCUUAGGCUUUUGGCUAUUCUUGAAUAUCUUGGGGUGCCUUGGGCAUCCCCAAGCUUAGGCUCUUGCCACUCCUUAUUCCAUAGUCCAUCAAAUCUUUACCCAAAACUUGAAAACUUCACAACACAAAACUCAACAGGAAAUCUCAUAAGCUCCUUUAGUGCAAGAAAGAAAAACCACCACAUAAGGUACUGUAAUGAACUCAUUCUUUAUUUAUAUUGGUGUUAAACCUAUUGUAUUACAACUUCUCUAUGGUUCAUACCCCUACAUACUAGCCAUAGAUGCAUCAAAAUAAGCAAACAACACACGAAAAGCAGAAUCUGUCAAAAACAAACUAGUCUGUAGCACUCUGUAACUCUCGAAUACUUCUGGAACUCUAAACCUCCUACCAAAAUAGGAAGUCCUGGGCAAUUUAUCUAUUGAUCCACAGCAAAAAGAAUCAACGAAAAAGCACGUUUCUGUGAAUUACUAAAAUUAUUUCGUGCAAAGUUUCUGUUUUUCAGCAGAAUCAAAUUAACUAUCACCAUAGGUUAUCCUAUAGGUUCUACUUGGCACAAACACUAAUUAAAACAUGAAAACACAUCUAAACAGAAGGUAGAUGCAAAUUUUAUUACUAAACAGAAGCAAAAACAAAAAAACUAAAAUAAAAUUGGGUUGCCUCCCAACUAGCGUUAUCGUUUAACGCCCCUAGCUAGGCAUAAAAGCGAGGAUAGAUCUAAGUAGUGCCAUCUUUGGCACUCAAUUCAUAAGUAGCUCGCAUGGUAGAUUCAUAAGGUAAUUUGAAUUUCUUUCUUGGAAAGUUCUCCAUGCCUUUCCUUAAUGGAAAUUGGAAUCUAAUAUUCCCUUCCUUCAUAUCAAUAAUCGCACCAAUCGUUCUAAGGAAAGGUCUACCAAGAAUAAUAGGACAUGAAAGAUUGCAAUCUAUGUCAAGAACGAUAAAAUCUACGGGCACCAAAUUCCUAUUUGCAAUAAUGAGAACAUCAUUGAUCCUUCCCAUUGGCUUUUUAAUGGUGGAAUUCGCAAAGUGCAAAUUUAAAGAGCAAUCAUCAAGAUCAUGGAAACCUAGAAUAUCGCAUAAAGUUUUCGGAAUCGUGGAAACACUAGCACCCAAAUCACACAAAGCAUAACAAUCAUGAUCUUUAAUUUUAAUCUUUAUAGUAGGUUCCCACUCAUUGUUAAGUUUUCUAGGUAUAGAAACUUCCAAAUUAAGUUUUUCAUCAUAAGAUUGCAUCAAGGCAUCAACAAUAUGUUUGGUAAAGGCUUUAUUUUGACUAUAAGCAUGAGGAGAAUUCAAAACGGAUUGCAACAAGGAAAUACAACUUUCUAAAGAACAAUUAUCAUAAUUAAAUUCAUCCAAGAUAGUGGGUUCAAUGCUAUUUAAAGUCUUGACCUCUCCAAUCUCACUUUUACCAAAUUUUAGCAUCAAGAUCUAAGAACUCUGAAUCAUUGGGACGCCUUUUAACUAAAGUUGACUCAUCUCCAGUCCCAUCAUUAUUAAGAUUCAUAUUGCAAAACAAAGAUUUAAUAGGGUACACAUCAAUAACUUUUAGAUCCUCAUCAUUAUUUUCAUGGAAACUAGAAGAACACGCUUUUACAAAGCAAUCUUUCUUAGCACGCAAUCUAGCGGUUCUUUCUUUGCACUCAUCAAUGGAAAUUCUCAUGGCUUUGAGAGACUCAUUGAUAUCAUGCUUAGGAGGAGUAGAUCUAAGUUUCAAAGAAUCAACAUCAAGCGAAAGUCUAUCAACGUUCCUAGCCAAAUCAUCAACUUUAAGCAAUUUUUCUUCAAGCAUGGCAUUAAAAUUCUUUUGAGAGAUCAUAAAUUCUUUCACACUAUUCUCAAAAUCAGAGGACAUCUUAUUAUAAUUACCAUAAGAAUUAUUGUAGAAAUUUCUAUAAUUAUUAGAGGAAUUACUAGGGAACGGUCUAGGAUUAAAAUUUCCUGUAUAAGCAUUGUUACCAAAAUUAUUCCUACCAACAAAAUUCACACCCAUAGAUUCAUUAUUAUUCUCGAUCAAAGUAGACAAAGGCAUAUUAUUGGGAUCAAUAGAAGCACUCUUAGUAGCAAACAGUUUCAUAAGUUCAUCCAUCUUUCCACUCAAAACAUUAAUUUCUUCUAUAGCAUGCACUUUUUUACUAGUAGAUCUUUCGGUGUGCCAUUGAGAAUAAUUAUCCAUAAUAUUAUCAAGGAGUUUAGUAGCUUCUCAUAAGGUGAUUUCCAUAAACGAUUAAACGUGCCUCCCGCGGCCGAAUCUAAAAGAUUUCUAGAAGCAAAAUUCAAUCUGGCAUAAAAAUUUUGUAUGAUCAUCCAUAAAUUCAAACCAUGAGUAGGGCAAUUGUGAAUCAUCAAUUUCAUUCUUUCCCAAUAUUGGGCAACAUGCUCAUGAUCAAGUUGUUUAAAAUUCAUAAUAUUGUUCCUAAGAGAGAUGAUCUUAGCAGGUGGAAAAUACUUAGACAUAAAAGCAUCUUUGCACUUAUUCCAUGAAUCAAUACUAUUCUUAGGCAAAGACGAAAACCAAACUUUAGCACGAUCUCUAAGUGAAAACGGAAAUAACUUCAAUUUAACAAUAUCAUUAUCCGUAUCUUUCUUCUUUUGCAUCUCACAUAAAUCAACAAAGUUGUUUAGAUGGGUAGCGGCAUCUUCACUAGGAAGGCCAGAGAAUUGAUCUUUCAUAACAAGAUUCAGCAAAGCAGCAUUGAUUUCACAAGACUUGUCGGGGAUAUACCCCGCGGUGUAAACCGGCCGGAAGUUAACCCGGCCGGACUUGGCGGUUUAUUUGAGACCCCGCUGACACUUGGCGGUUCACAACUCAUUGGUAAUCCGGCAGGCGGGUGCGAGGAGCGACAAGACCUGGUGGCCCAACAGGCGGUUCAUGAAGGCCGGUUCAUACUAUGGUGGGCCGGUUUAACAGGAAAGGCAUAAGGAAUAUUUGUCUUACAAGGAGUUAAGACCUGGACUUGUAUCCGGUUUGUAUUAGAGAUAGACUAGUCCUAAUCCUAAUAGGACUCCACAUGUAACCCGCCCCUUCAACAUAUAUAAGGAGGGGCAGGGCUCCCCAAAAGGGGGACAAGCUACAAGCAAGAAGAAACAAUCUUAGGGCUAGACACAAAGAGGAGAGCCGGUUUACGGCGACUCCCUCGUGAUGAUAAUGAGACCUAGCCUCAAACAGCAUGUAGGGUUUUUACCGGAUGAUGUUUCCCGGGGCCCGAAGUUGUCUAAAUCCCUGUCUUGUGUUGCGUCUCUCGAUUCCGAUCAACCCCUCUCAAGCUACCACAUAGAUGCGUUGGCCUCGCGACUAAGUCCUGACACUAAGGACAUCUGACGUGUUAAUUCCACGACAGUUGGCGCCCACCGUGGGGCCCACGCACGAUGGUGAUGAGUUCUUGAAGGGAUCUCUUCUCAGGGAUCGAGAAGUUCGUAAUUUACUGGAUGAGAAAGAACCGGUUUUGAAGGAUCUUCAUCAGCUUUGAAUCUGACCAAGCAGUAAUUCGUCGUGGUACCAAGUUCAAUCCUGCCGCCGAGUAUAGUCGAGGAAAGCUAAAACUUCGAUAAGAUGGAUUCAAGCCGCUGGGUUUCUACCCCACGCAAACCCUGACUUCAAGUCGCCGCCACUGCUGUGGUUUCGAGCGUUCUUCAACUACGACCCGGGAUCAGUGCUAAACUAGCCAGGACACAGGAGCAGGGAUCACGGAGUUACUAGUUCUGUAUUUAGUAAAACAUCAAAGGAUGGUACAAAAAGUAUGAUGAAUCAGAGGGAGAUUGGAUCUUGGACGUUGAGACUCGCCCGGUCCGAAUCGGCCCCGAGAAACCUCGUGGCCAAGUCGCCGACGCCACUGCCUACUUCGCUCUGUUGCAAGUCGCUGUUUGCCGGCCGAAAAGCCAUGGGUCGCCGUGGUCGGCCUUGACUCCGCACGGUCGUGCCCUCGACCCUGCACACGUGAUUUCAUCCUGCCUCGGCUUACAGCGCCGCCUUGAGCCGCCUUGAGCCACCCAUGGCCGUCUCGACCCGUUGUUGUUGUGAGUCGGCCCUCACCGUUCCCCGCCUCGCGCCGUUAUAAACCCGCCGGUGCGCCCUCGAGCCCGUCUCCAUCACCAUGGCUGUUGAGCCGCUGCAUCGAGCUGUUGGAUCACCUUCGUGUCUGAACCACCGACUCCAUCACUGCGGUCCCGAGCCAGCCAUGCCUCUGUCCCCCCAGCCUCAACUACCCACCGAGCUUACUGAGUCGCCCGUCCGUGCGCCUCCUGUCCGAGUUGCCGUCGGGCUGAGCCGCCCGCUGGGUCUCGCUGCUGCAAGCCGGCCUCACUAGUACCCGGAUACGAACUCAGAUCUGGAGCAGUUUACUAGUACUCCAUAAUACUAGCUGAAGGCUACUCCACGUGAAACCCCAAGGACCACUAGCAGUUGCACAGAAAUCGAGGUUGAUUAAUCUGGAGCACAUGCACCUAAAAAGGCAAACGGAAAAAAGUGAUGAUGCGGUGAAGGAACACUAGUCCUUUGCAUAAAGUCAGCCAGAAAUUCAACUGCCGCAUUGGCUGUUGAAUGGAAUUUAUCCUCAGGUGAUAUUUUUCCUGAUAAAAUUGUUCUUGCGGAUUAAAUCUGUCAAGAUUUUUUGUACUUUUAAUUUUUACAUGUUUAUGUGCAGGUUAAUUUAUAAGCGGGAGGCUGUUUUGCCCGUCCGCACUUUGCCGUUGUACCCGGUGGACGCGCGUGCCGGUCUAUGACGGUACACCGCGGCCGUGUUCGCUCGAACGUGCACAACAUGUGGUCCGAUCUACAUCAACUCACUGGGACCGCGCCCGCGAUUAACUCGCUGUUCGCACGGUUUAUCACGCCCGCGGCCGACUCGUCGGUCCGCGCCGCCUUACAACGCCACUGAUGAAUCGCCCGACCACCCUCGCAGCCGGUUCACGAGUCCACACUGGCUUACAACGCGGAGAACAAUUUGCUCGUCCGUGCUGGCUUACAGUGCUACGGCCGACUCAUCCGUUUGCUCCUGCGGGUGACUCAUUCGUGGUUGUUUUUAGCUUCACCAUGGUAACCGUCAACUCCACGGAGGAUAAAUUUCGGCUUAACAAAUCAGGUGAUAUCCAUCCAAGUUUGUUUUAUUAUCACAUGUUGUUUUUGUCAAAGAACAAGUUUAUCUUUGCCUUGGUCUGCAAUAUUGUUUAUGCAGGGCAAUUAUUUAUGACAAAGAAGUGAUAUUAUUACCGCGGAGGUGGAGACACGCCAACAUCUUUUUGGCACAGGUGGCCGUCUCUCGUGACCGCGCCGGCUUACAACGCAGUGGCCGUUUCUCGCGACCGCGCCGGCUUACAACACCGUGGCCGUCUUUUAUGACCAUGCCGGUUUAUAACAAGGAGGACAACUUGCCCGUCCGCACCGACUUACAACACCACAGCUGGUUUAUCUGUCUGUGCGGCCUCUGAUCCUGCGGUCGUAUUUUCCGUCCGUCUCUCGCGGCCUGGUCUACAUCAACACAACGGGCCGCACCUAUCUGCAUGAGGUGUUUAUUAAGUAUGAGCAAGUCACAGCUUGGGUAGCCCGGAUUUUUUUUCAAAAAAUUGGAGGCAAAUUAUCAUAUGCUAUCAACCGUCGUCUGCACUGGGUGGCUCAAUGGGCAGGCACACAAGUCGCCGCCACUACAGUUUAGUUAAACUUCAAAUCAUCAGUUGAAGGAACCAUUGGCCGAGUUGCUGACCCAGCUCAUACGGGAUCAUUUAUAACCCGCCGCAGUCACCUCAACCUUCUGUGGAUGCACAUCGUGCUAUCAACACCAAUGAUAUACAAGUUAUGCCGGUUUAUAUCACGGUCAAAUAUGGAGAGUUUCAAGCCAACUCCUCGAGUCACCUUGAGACUCGGGGGCUACGAUGACAUGACUCAGCAAAUCUUGCCAGUUUCAGCAAAUUUAAGAACCCCAGGACGAUGGAGGGAAAGAUAACCCGGUCUCGGAGGCUACUGUUAUUUGAAAGGCCAUCAGAAAAAUUCCGGCUGAAAAUGAAGAUUCCGGUUUACAAUCCGGUUCAAGGGAAAGAUGUCUCCCACAAAGCUUGGAAGCUCUCAAUAUCCGGUUCAAAAUCCCGGUUCAAGAAGGAUUUAUCUCUUACAAAAAGUUAAAGGGUGCCAAAGAGGACCUGCUGCCAUGAUGCGCGGUCCAAACAUGGGUAUCAUGCUUUAUUGGCUUAUCAUAUUAUUGAUCACUUGGGGGUUUGGUCGUAUCCGAACCAUAGCCACGCCUCUUGAUCGGCCUAGUGCCACAACAUCACUUGGGGACUUGGUCGAGUCCGAACCAAUGCAACACCUUUUGAUAGGCGAAAGCCACCAGAUCACUUGGGGACAUGGUCAAGUCUGAACCAGUCACGCCUCUUGAUCGGCCUAAGGCCAUAGAGUCACUUGGGGGCUUGGUCGAACCCGAACCAUUGCCACGCCACUUGAUCGGCAUAAUGCCACGGUUUCAGUUGGGGACCUGGCUGACUUGAACCAUAGCUACACCUUAUUGGGAGCUUGGUCGUGUCCGACCAUGGUAACACCAUCUGAUCGGCUCAGUAAAGCCUCUUUUUGCAAAUGGUCUUAUCAUUGCCUUUGCUUCCAUAUUUUUUCAUAACUGUUAUUUGAUUUUUGUUGCGUUUUUAAACCGACAUUGUUAAUCCGUUUCAAACUGUCAAUUACAAAUUGGCGGAACACGGUCAAAUCCUAAUCCGGAGACUAUCUGCCCGGUUUGAUUUUAUGUUACCAUCUUAUUAUGGAGUAAACCGGUGUUCAUUAACCCGGCUUGACUUUCAAUUACAAAUUGUCAGUACAUGAUCAAAUCAUAAUCCGGAGACUAUCCGCCCGGCCUGGCUUUGGACUAUAAGUCGCCAGUACAUAUUUGGAUUGCGCCAUUGGAAUCAUGCGCUUAUAAAUCAUUGGGUUAUAUUAUUCAAAUAGCCAAACUUGGCUGAAUUUUCAUUAUGAUAUUGAAUGAAUAAGGUUUUUCAUACCAGAUUAUAUUAUCUUGAAUAGCCAACAUGGCUAGAUUUUUAUUAUGGUUAUCAAUAACCAAUAUUAUGAUUGAGGUUUUCAAAGUCGCUUCAGCGCAAUGGCUAUUAUUUUAUCAAUGGGUAUGAUUUAUUCUAUAAUGGAGGGAAUAGUCCCAAGUCGCUGCAGGCUUACGACCCGACACUUCGGGGCUACAUUAUUUAAGUUGAGAUUACAUCAAAUAUGCAAGUCUCAUGUCGCUGCAAGCAUGCACCAUGACACUUGGGGGCUAAUGCAAAGUAAUUUUCUGCUCAUAUUAUUGAAGACCCGACUCAUCACAUUAUAAUGAGUCGGCUCUUGGGGGCUACCAAUUGCUCCUGUCAACAGUUGAAGGUACAAAGCUUUUUAUUCAUUAUAUUGAAGAGUCCACUGCUCAGUUGGUAAAGCACAAGGCUCUUAAUCUUGUGGACGUGGAUUCAAGCCCCAUGAUGGGGGUUACAUCAUAUGAUGUUAUUUUCAUUGAAGUAUAUAUCAAGUCCCAGCUUAAUAAUAUCUUACUGAGCCGGCCCUUGGGGGCUACACAUCAUUGCUCAAAGCUAUAUGAUUAUACCUACAAAGUCCCUGCUCAUUAUUGCAUAAAUGACCCGGCACUUGGGGGCUAUAUAAUAUGGAGUGUUCAGUUUUUACUAGUGACUGGGAUGAACAACAUGGAUUUCUUCAAAAGUGGCAGUAUUGAUAUUGAAGCAAGUCUUAAGCCAUCACUUUGUUCUGCUCAAGACUUGGGGGCUACAGGUAUUAUAUUAUUAUCAAAGAAAUAUUUUCAAAUUUUCUGAUUGAGCAAACUAGGUUGACCCGGCGUCACCAAUCAUUAUGACCCUGUGGCUGCAACCCAGCGUCAUUAAUAAUCAUGAACUGGCAUUGGCAACAAUCAUGAACCGGUGUCUGCAACAAUCAUGACUCGAAAUUAUCAAGUUUUUAUAACCCGACAGUCUUUGGCAAUGAUAAAACCGGCAAGUUCUGCAUCUUCAAACCGGUUGAAUGUCAGAUGAGUAUUUCAAGACCAAUAUUUCUUAAACCGGCGCUUUGGAAGCCGACUCAAGUGGAUUAUUCUUCACAAUAUUUUUUCUAUAAGAAGCCAACAUCAGCAAUUUGAGUAUGAAGCUGGUUAUUGACCCGGAUUUUCUAGAAGGAGGAAAUGACAAAGGACUUAAGGACGAUCAGGUGCCGGUCUACAAUAAUUCUUAACCCGGAGCACAACCAGCCAAAUUUGUUCUGGUGUUUAUUUUGCAGCAUAAGUUUACCAUGGAUAAAUCCAAGCUAAACUUGGGGGCUAAUGUCGGGGAUAUACCUCGCUGUGUAAACCGGCCGGAAGUUAACCCGGCCGGGCUUGACGGUUUAUUUGAGACCCCGCUGACACUUGGCGGUUCACGACUCAUUGGUAAUCCGGCAGGCGGGUGCGAGGAGCGACAAGACCUGGUGGCCCAACAAGCGGUUCAUGAAGGCCGGUUCAUACUAUGGUGGGCCGGUUUAAGAGGAAAGGCAUAAGGAAUAUUUGUCUUACAAGGAGUUAAGACCUGGACUUGUAUCCGGUUUGUAUUAGAGAUAGACUAGUCCUAAUCCUAAUAGGACUCCACAUGUAACCCGCCCCUUGAACAUAUAUAAGGAGGGGCAGGGCUCCCCAAAAGGGGGACAAGCUACAAGCAAGAAGAAACAAUCUUAGGGCUAGACACAAAGAGGAGAGCCGGUUUACGGCGACUCCCUCGUGAUGAUAAUGAGACCUAGCCUCAAACAACAUGUAGGGUUUUUACCGGAUGAUGUUUCCUGGGGCCCGAAGCUGUCUAAAUCCCUGUCUUGUGUUGCGUCUCUCGAUUCCGCUCAACCCCUCUCAAGCUACCACAUAGAUGCGUUGGCCUCGCGACUAAGUCCUGACACUAAGGACAUCUGCCGUGACAAAUCCACGACAAGACUCAACAUCAUUAAGAGGAGCAAACGGAGUACUAAGGAAAUCAUUAUUAUUGGUAUUGGAAAAUUCACACAAUUUGGUAUUAUCUUGCGCCACCGCGACAAGUGAUCCAACAGACAAGCAAAAAAAGCAAGCGAAAGAGAGAGGAGAUUGGGAAAGAGAGGGCGAAUAAAACGGCAAGGGUGAAGUGGGGGAGAGGAAAACGAGACGCAAAUGGCAAAUAAUGUAAGUGCGAGGGAGAUGAGUUUGUGAUGGGUACUUGGUAUGUCUUGACUUGAGCGAAGACCUCCCCGGCAACGGCGCCAGAAAUCCUUCUUGCUACGUCAUGAGCUUGCGUUGGUUUUCCUUGAAGAGGAAAGGGUGAUGCAGCACAGUAGCGUAAGUAUUUCCCUCAGUUUUUGAGAACCAAGGUAUCAAUCCAGUAGGAGGCUCCUCAAAAGACCCACGCACCUACACAAACAAACAAGAACUCCCAACCAACGCAAUAAAGGGGUUGUCAAUCCCUUCAAGGCCACUUGCGAAAGUGAGAUCUGAUAGAGAUAAUAUGAUAAGAUAAAUAUAUUUUUGGUAUUUUAUGAUAUAGAUUGGAAAAAUAAAAGUAGAUUGAAAGCUUAUAUGAUAAGAGAUAGACCCGGGGGCCAUAGGUUUCACUAGUGGCUUCUCUCAAGAUAGCAUAAGUAUUACGGUGGGUGACAAAUUACUGUCGAGCAAUUGAUAGAAAAGCGAAUAAUUAUUAGAUUAUCUAGGCAUGAUAAUGUAUAUAGGCAUCACGUCCGUGACAAGUACACCGACUCCUGCCUGCAUCUACUACUAUUACUCCACACAUCGACCGCUAUCCAACAUGCAUCUAGAGUAUUAAGUUCAUAAAGAACAUAGUAACGCAUUAAGAAAGAUGACAUGAUGUAGAGUGAUAAACUCAUGCUAUAUGAUAUAAACCCCAUAUUUUUAUCCUCGAUGGCAACAAUACAAUACGUGCCUUGCUGCCCCUGCUGUCACUGGGAAAGGACAUCGCAAGAUUGAACCCAAAGCUAAGCACUUCUCCAAUUGCAAGAAAGAUCAAUCUAGUAGGGCAAACCAAACUGAUAAUUCAAAGAGACCUGCAAAGAUAACUUAAUAACACAUAAAAGAAUUCAGAUGAGAUUCAAAUAUUUCUCAUAGAUAAACUUGAUCAUAAACCCACAAUUCAUUGGAUCUCGACAAACACACCGCAAAAAGAGUUACAUCGAAUAGAUCUCCAAGAGGAUCGAGGAGAACUUCGUAUUGAGAUUCAAAGAGGGAGAAGAAGCCAUUUAGCUAAUAACUAUGGACCCGAAGGUCUGUGGUAAACUACUCACAACUCAUCAGAGAGGCCUUGGAGUUGAUGUAGAGGCCCUCCGUGAUCGAUUCCCCCUCCGGCGGAGCACCGACAAAGGCUCCAAGAUGGGAUCUCGCGGAUACAGAAGGUUACGGCGGUGGAAAUAGUUUUUUGUGGUCGCUUCUGAUGUUUUCGGGGUACAUGGGUAUAUAUAGGAGGAAGAAGUAGGUCGGUGGACGCCCGAGGGGCCCACGAGAGUGGGGGGCACGCCCAGCCCUAGGGGGCGCGCUGGGCAUCCUCGUGGCCGCCUCCCUUGUUUCUUGACUUCCACUCCAAGUCCUUUGGAUCACGUUUGUUCCAAAAAGAUCGCUCCUGAAGGUUUCAUUCCGUUUGGACUCCGUUUGAUAUUCCUUUUCUUCGAAACACUGAAAUAGGCAAAAAAAACAGCAAUUUGGGCUGGGCCUCCGGUUAGUAGGUUAGUCCCAAAAAUGAUAUAAAAGUGUAAAGUAAAGCCCAUAAACAUCCAUAAUGGGUAAUAUAAUAGCAUGGAACAAUCAAAAAUUAUAGAUACGUUGGAGACGUAUCAGUACCUAGGUCUUCCCAUCUCCCAAGAUAGGCUUUACGCGAAAGAUUUCGCCCCUGCUGUGGCUAAAGUUGGUAACUGGGUACUACCUUGGAGAGGUAGGCACAACACCAAUGCUGGAAAAGUGGCUCUAAUCAAUGCUUGCUUAUCGUCCCUGCCUAUGUUUCGUAUGGGAUUCUAUUCUCUUUCGGCUGGUACUCACGCAUGCUUUGUCAAACAUAGAGGGGCUUUUUACUGGAAUUCGGUAGAUAAUAGGCGUAAAUACAGAUUCGUCAAAUGGAAACUUAUGUGCAGACCCAAAAACCUUGGGGGUUUGGGCAUUAUUAACACCGCCAUCAUGAAUAAAUGCCUUUUAGUUAAAUGGUGGUGGAAGAUUAUGACUUCUGGGGUUGGAUCCUUAUGGUUCUCCAUCCUCAAAGCUAAAUAUUUUCCUCACUCCAGCCCGUUGUUAGCUCCUGCCCGCGGUGAGUCUCAAUUCUGGAAAGAUCUGGUUAAAGUUAGACAUUUGUUUCUGGAUAAUGUUAAGUUUGUUGUCUGGGAUGGCUCGUCUGUUCGCUUCUGGCUUGACUGGUGGUGUGGAGAAUCCAUGCUCUCCGUGUAUUUUUCCACCCUCUUUUCUUAUUGCCCUAACCCGAAUAUCUCUAUUGCUGAGUUAUCGACAAAUAAUUGGGACCUAGCUUUCCAUCGUUCCCUUUCUUCUAAAGAGUUUGAAGACUGGCAAAGGCUCUCUGCUCUCUUCCCUACACUCCCAGAAACAGGAGACUCAGUGGUGUGGCCCCACACCUCUUUGGGUUGUUUCUCGGUUAAAUCUCUUUACUCUAGGCUCGUUGGUGGAUCCCCCACCAACAUGUUUUCUCAGGUUUGGCAGGCUCGUGUUCCCCCGAAAAUCAAGAUCUUCCUUUGGCAAGCUUUUAGAGGCCAUCUGCCUGCGGCAGACCAAAUUCGUAAAAGGAAUCGCCCAGGAUCGGAAUUUUGUGCCCUUUGUGGCGCGUUGGAGAACACGACUCAUAUUUUUUUCAUUGUGAUUUGGCCAAGCUGGUCUGGAGCUGUGUGAGAUCUUGGCUCCAUGUCUCAUGGGACCCUUCUUCUUUUUCUGAUCUCCGGGCCCUUGCUAACCCUUUGUGUGGUGCCACCAAAAGGGUUUUUUGGGUUGGUCUUGGAGCGAUUUGUUUGUCUUUGUGGACUAUUAGUAAUAAGUUUACCAUCGAGCAUGUUUUUCCUGCUAAACCUGUUGACUGCUUAUUUAAAUCAUGCAUGUUCUUGCAGCAGUGAAGAUCAUUGACUAGGGCGGAGGAACAUGAUGCUUUUGAUCUCCUGGUCUCCAAAAUGCGGGCCUUUGCAUCUUCUCUAUCCAGACAGGAGCAUGCUACUUCAUAUUGUUCUGCGAUUCCUCGACUAGUUGUUGGCUAGGUUGCUUCCUCUAUUUUCGGCCUGCACAUCGUGUGGUGGCUCGGAUGCCAUGUAUCUCUCUUUAAUACUCUGGGGCUACUCUGUGUUUAUGCUUGCUUGGUGGGUUGGUUGUUUCCUAUGCUUGACUCUGCCUGGUGGCUUUAUUUAUAAAGUCGGGCGUAUGCCUUUUCUCUAAAAAAAGAGUUGACCGAGCGCAUAUCGGGUGGCCUCGGGCUUCUAAAAUCCUAGACUGGAGGCGGUCAACGACACGUUGAGGUGUCACAAAAUUUUCCUUCUUGGGAAACAAACGAUUAGGUACCAAGGAAGGCAAAAUGGACAUCUAUAAGAUGGUCAAGAUCCGAGAGAGGAAUAUGAGAGAUGUAGUCAAAUGCAUCGAGGACGAAGCAAGCCAACUCUUGGUGAAGGACGAGGAGAUUAAGUAUAGAUGGUGGGAGUACUUCGACAAGUUGUUCAAUGGGAAGAAUGAGAGUUCUACCAUUGAACUGGACGACUCCUUCGAUGAGACCAACAUGUGUUUUGUGUAGUGAAUCCAGGAGUCUGAGGUCAAGGAGGCUUUAAAAAAGAUGAAAGAAGGCAAGAUGAUGGGCCCUGGUUGUAUCCCAUUGAGGUGUGAAAAGGCCUCGAGGACAUAGCAAUAGUAUGGCUAACGAAGCUUUUCAACCUCAUUUUUUGAGCAAACAAGAUACCAGAAGAUUGUGGAUGGAGUAUAUUAGUACCAAUCUUCAAGAACAAUGGGGGUGUUCAGAGUUGUACUAAUUACCGUGGAAUUAAGCCGAUGAGCCAUAAAAUGAAGCUAUCGAAGAGAGUCAUUGAUCAACGGUUAGGAGGAAUUACAAGCGUGACCAAAAAUCAGUUUGGUUUCAUGCCGGGAGGUCGACCAUGGAAUCCAUUUUCUUGGUAUGACAACUUAUGGAGAGAUACAAAGAGCAAAAGAAGGACUUGCAUAUGGUAUUUAUUGACUUGGAGAAGGCCUACGAUAAGAAACCACGGAAUGUCAUUGAAGGAAAUAUGCCCUAGAGGCAAUAAUAAAGUUAUUAUUUAUUUCCUCAUAUCAUGAUAAAUGUUUAUUAUUCAUGCUAGAAUUGUAUUAACCGGAAACAUGAUACAUGUGUGAAUACAUAGACAAACAUAUAGUCACUAGUAUGCCUCUACUUGACUAGCUCAUUAAUCAAAGAUGGUUAUGUUUCCUAACCAUUGACAUGUGUUGUCAUUUGAUUAAUGGGAUCACAUCAUUAGGAGAAUGAGGUGAUUGACAUGACCCAUCCCGUUAGCUUAGCACUUGAUCGUUUAGUAUUCUGCUAUUGCUUCCUUCAUGACUUAUACAUGUUCCUGUAACUAUGAGAAUUGUGUAACUCCCGUUUACCGGAGGAACACUUUGGGUACUACCAAACAUCACAACGUAACUGGGUGAUUAUAAAGGAGUACUACAGGUGUCUCCGAAGGUACAUGUUGAGUUAGCAUAAUUCGAGAUUAGGUUUUGUCACUCCGAUUGUCGGAGAGGUAUCUCUGGGCCCUCUCGGCAAUGCUCAUCACCUAAGCCUUGCAAGCAUGUAACUAAUGAGUUAGUUAUAAGAUGAAGUAUUACAGAACGAGUAAAGAGACUUGUCGAUAACGAGAUUGAACUAGGUAUUGGAUACCAACGAUCGAAUCUCGGACAAGUAACAUACCGAUGACAAAGGGAACAACGUAUGUUGUUAUGCGGUUUGACCGAUAAAGAUCUUCGUAGAAUAUGUAGGAACCAAUAUGGGCAUCCAGGUCCCGCUAUUGGUUAUUGACCAGAGAUGUGUCUCAGUCAUGUCUACAUCGUUCUCGAACCGUAGGGUCCGCACGCUUAAGGUUUCGAUGACAGUUAUAUUAUGAGUUUAUGUAUUUUGAUGUACCGAAGGUUGUUCGGAGUCCCGGAUAUGAUUACGGACAUGACGAGGAGUCUCGAAAUGGUCGAGACAUAAAGAUUGAUAUAUUGGACGGAUAUAUUUGGACACCGGAAAGGUUCCGGAGAAGUUUGGAGCCCCGGGAGGUUACCGGAACCCCCCGGGAGGUAUAUGGGCCUUAUUGGGCCCAUGUAGGAGGAAGAGAGAAGGAGCAAGGGAGGGGGGCGCGCCCCCCCAAGACCAAUCCAAAUUGGGGAGGGGGGCCGCCCCCCCCCCCUUUCCUUUCUCCUUCCCCCUCUUCCUAUUACUACUACUAGUACUACUUCCUAAUACUAGUACUCUUUCCUUCCCCCUCCAAAUAAGAUAAGGAAAAGAGAGGGAAACCUACUUGGAGUAGGUUUCCCCCUCCUCAUGGCGCGCCCCCCUAGGGCUGGCCACCUCCUCCCUCCCUCCUUUAUAUACGGGGGUAGGGGGGCACCCUAGAACACACAAGUUGAUCAUUGAUCGUUCCUUAGCCGUGUGGGGUGCCCCCCUCCACGAUAUUACACCUCGGUCAUAUUGUAGCGGUGCUUAGGCGAAGCCCUGCAACAGGAGAACAUCAAGAUCGUCACCACGCCGUCGUGCUGACGGAACUCCCCCUCGGCGCCGCUGCUGGAUCGGAGAUCGAGGGUGCGUCAUCGAGCUGUACGCGUGUCAAGAACUCGGAGGUGCCGGAGUAACGGUACUUGGAUCGGUUGAACCGGAGGACGUACGACUACUUCCUCUACGUUGCGUCAACGCUUCCGCUUCGGUCUACAAGGGUACGUAGACAACACUCUCCCCUCGUUGCUAUAUCAUCACCGUGAUCUUGCGUGUGCGUAGGAAAUUUUUUGAAAUUACUACGUUCCCCAACAGUGGCAUCCGAGCCUAGGUUUUAUGCGUUGAUGUUAUAUGCACGAGUAGAACACAAGUGAGUUGUGGACGAUAUAAGUCAUACGGCCUACCAGCAUGUCAUACUUUGGUUCAGCGGUAUUGUGAGAUGAAGCGGCCCGGACCGACAUUACGCGUACGCUUACGCGAGACUGGUUUCACCGUUACGAGCACUCGUGCUUAAAGGUGGCUGGCGGGUGUCUGUCUCUCUCACUUUAGUUGAAUCGAGUGUGGCUACGCCCGGUCCUUGUGAAGGUUAAAACGGAGUCUAUUUGACAAACUAUCGUUGUGGUUUUGAUGCGUAGGUGAGAUUGGUUCUUGCUUAAGCCCGUAGCAGCCACGUAAAAUUUGCAACAACAAAGUAGAGGACGUCUAACUUGUUUUUGCAGGGCAUGUUGUGAUGUGAUAUGGCCAAGACAUGAUGCUAUAUUUUAUUGUAUGAGAUGAUCAUGUUUUGUAACCGAAGUUAUCGGCAACUGGCAGGAGCCAUAUGGUUGUCGCUUUAUUGUAUGAAAUGCAAACGCCCUGUAAUUGCUUUACUUUAUCACUAAGCGGUAGCGAUAGUCGUAGAAGCAAUAGAUGGCGUAACGACAACGACGCUACGAUGGAGAUCAAGGUGUCGCGCCGGUGACGAUGGUGAUCACGACGGUGCUUCGAAGAUGGAGAUCACAAGCACAAGAUGAUGAUGGCCAUAUCAUAUCACUUAUAUUGAUUGCAUGUGAUGUUUAUCCUUUAUGCAUCUUAUCUUGCUUUGAUUGACGGUAGCAUUUUAAGAUGAUCUCUCACUAAUUAUCAAGAAGUGUUCUCCCUGAGUAUGCACCGUUGCGAAAGUUCUUCGUGUUGAGACACCACGUGAUGAUCGGGUGUGAUAGGCUCUACGUUCAAAUACAACGGGUGCAAAACAGUUGCACACGCGGAAUACUCAGGUUAUACUUGACGAGCCUAGCAUAUACAGAUAUGGCCUCGGAACACGGGGACCGAAAGGUCGAGCGUGAAUCAUAUAGUAGAUAUGAUCAACAUAGAGAUGUUCACCAUUGAAACUACUCCAUCUCACGUGAUGAUCGGACAUGGUUUAGUUGAUUUGGAUCACGUAAUCACUUAGAUGACUAGAGAGAUGUCUGUCUAAGUGGGAGUUCUUUAGUAAUAUGAUUAAUUGAACUUAAAUUUAUCAUGAACUUAGUACCUGAUAGUAUUUUGCUUGUCUAUGUUUGUUUGUAGAUAGAUGGCUCGUGCUAUUGUUCCGUUGAAUUUUAAUGUGUUCCUUGAGAAAGCAAAGUUGAAAGAUGAUGGUAGCAAUUACACGGACUGGGUCCGUAACCUGAGGAUUAUCCUCAUUGCUGCACAGAAGAGUUACGUCCUGGAAGCACCGCUGGGUGCCAGGCCUGCUGCUGAUGCAACUGACGACGUUAAGAACGUCUGGCAGAGCAAAGCUGAUGACUACUCUAUAGUUCAGUGUGCCAUGCUUUACGGCUUAGAACCGGGUCUUCAACGAUGUUUUGAACGUCAUGGGGCAUAUGAGAUGUUCCAGGAGUUGAAGUUAAUAUUUCAAGCAAAUGCCCGGAUUGAGAGAUAUGAAGUCUCCAAUAAGUUCUACAGCUACAAGAUGGAGGAGAACAGUUCUGUCAGUGAACAUAUACUCAAAAUGUCUGGGUAUAAUAAUCACUUGAUUCAACUGGGAGUUAAUCUUCCGGAUGAUAGCGUCAUUGACAGAAUUCUCCAAUCACUGCCACCAAGCUACAAGAGCUUUGUGAUGAACUAUAAUAUGCAAGGGAUGAACAAGACUAUUCCCGAGCUCUUCGCGAUGUUGAAAGCCGCGGAGGUAGAAAUCAAAAAGGAGCAUCAAGUGUUGAUGGUCAACAAGACCACUGGUUUCAAGAAAAGGGGCAAAGGGAAGAAGAAGGGGAACUUCAAAAGGAACGGCAAACAAGUUGCUGCUCAAGUGAAGAAACCCAAGUCUAGACCUAAGCCUGAAACUGAGUGCUUCUACUGCAAGCAGACUGGACACUGGAAGCGGAACUGCCCCAAGUAUUUGGCGGAUAAGAAGGAUGGCAAAGUGAACAAAGGUAUAUGUGAUAUACAUGUUAUUGAUGUGUACCUUACUAAUGCUCGCAGUAGCACCUGGGUAUUUGAUACUGGUUCUGUUGCUAACAUUUGCAACUCGAAACAGGGACUACGGAUUAAGCGAAGAUUAGCUAAGGACGAGGUGACGAUGCGCGUGAGAAAUGGUUCCAAAGUCGAUGUGAUCGCGGUCGGCACGCUACCUCUACAUCUACCAUCGGGAUUAGUUUUAGACCUGAAUAAUUGUUAUUUGGUGCCUGCGUUGAGCAUGAACAUUAUAUCUGGAUCUUGUUUGAUGCGAGACGGUUAUUCAUUUAAAUCAGAGAAUAAUGGUUGUUCUAUUUAUAUGAGUAAUAUCUUUUAUGGUCAUGCACCCUUGAAGAGUGGUCUAUUUUUAUUAAAUCUCGAUAGUAGUGAUACACAUAUUCAUAAUGUUGAAGCCAAAAGAUGCAGAGUUGAUAAUGAUAGUGCAACAUAUUUGUGGCACUGCCGUUCAGGUCAUAUCGGUGUAAAACACAUGAAGAAACUCCAUACUGAUGGACUUCUGGAAUCACUUGAUUAUGAAUCACUUGGUACUUGCGAACCGUGCCUCAUGGGCAAGAUGACAACAACACCGUUCUCCGGAUCUAUGGAGAGAGCAACAGAUUUGUUGGAAAUCAUACAUACAGAUGUAUGUGGUCCAAUGAAUGUUGAGGCUCGUGGCGGAUAUCGUUAUUUCCUCACCUUCACAGAUGAUUUGAGCAGAUAUGGGUAUAUCUACUUGAUGAAGCACAAGUCUGAAACAUUUGAAAAGUUCAAAGAAUUUCAGAGUGAUGUAGAAAAUCAUCGUAACAAGAAAAUAAAGUUUCUACGAUCUGAUCGUGGAGGAGAAUAUUUGAGUUACGAGUUUGGUUUACAUUUGAAACAAUGUGGAAUAGUUUCGCAACUCACGCCACCUGGAACACCACAGCGAAAUGGUGUGUCCGAACGUCGUAAUCGUACUUUACUUGAUAUGGUGCGAUCUAUGAUGUCUCUUACUGAUUUACCGCUAUCGUUUUGGGGUUAUGCUUUAGAGACGGCCGCAUUCACGUUAAAUAGGGCACCAUCAAAAUCCGUUGAGACGGCGCCUUAUGAACUAUGGUUUGGCAAGAAACCAAAGUUGUCGUUUCUCAAAGUUUGGGGCUGCGAUGCUUAUGUGAAGAAACUUCAACCAGAUAAGCUCGAACCCAAAUCGGAUAAAUGUGUCUUCAUAGGAUACCCAAAGGAGACAAUUGGGUACACCUUCUAUCACAGAUCUGAAGGCAAGAUUUUCGUUGCUAAAAUCGGAUCCUUUCUAGAGAAGGAGUUUCUCUCGAAAGAAGUGAGUGGGAGGAAAAUAGAACUUGAUGAGAUAAUUGUAUCUACUCCCUUAUUGGAAAGUAGUUCAUCACAAGAACCGGUUCCUAUGACAACUACACCAAUUAGUGAGGAAGCUAAUGAUAUUGAUCAUGAAACUUCAGAUCAAGUUUCUACUGAACCUCGUAGGUCUACCAGAGUGGUACGAAAAUCCUAUUCUAGAAGUCAUGUUACUAGACCAUGAUGAACCUACGAACUAUGAGGAAGCGAUAAUGAGCCCAGAUUCCGCAAAAUGGCUAGAGGCCAUGAAAUCUGAGAUAGGAUCCAUGUAUGAAAACAAAGUAUGGACUUUGGUUGACUUGCCCGAUAAUCGGCAAGCCAUUGAGAAUAAAUGGAUCUUUAAGAAGAAGACUGACGCUGAUGGUAAUGUUACUGUCUACAAAGCUCGACUUGUUGCAAAAGGUUUUUCGACAAGUUCAAGGGGUUGACUACGAUGAGACUUUCUCACCCGUAGCGAUGCUUAAGUCUGUCCGAAUCAUGUUGGCUAUUGCUGCAUUUCAUGAUUAUGAAAUUUGGCAAAUGGAUGUCAAGACUGCAUUCUUGAAUGGAUUUCUAGAAGAAGAGUUGUAUAUGAUGCAACCUGAAGGUUUUGUUGAUCCAAAAGGUGCUGACAAAGUGUGCAAGCUCCAACGUUCCAUUUAUGGACUGGUGCAAGCAUCUCGGAGUUGGAAUAAACGUUUUGAUAGUGUGAUCAAAGCAUAUGGUUUUAUACAGACUUUUGGAGAAGCCUGUAUUUACAAGAAAGUGAGUGGGAGCUCUGUAGCAUUUCUAGUUUUAUAUGUUGAUGACAUAUUAUUAAUUGGAAAUGAUAUAGAAGUUCUGGAUAGCAUAAAGGGAUACAUGAAUAAAAGUUUUUCUAUGAAAGACCUCGGUGAAGCUGCUUACAUAUUGGGCAUCAAGAUCUAUAGAGAUAGAUCAAGACGCUUAAUAGGACUUUCACAAAGUACAUACCUUGAAUUUUUUUUGAAAAAGUUCAAAAUGGAUCAGGCAAAGAAAGGAUUCUUGCCUGUGCUACAAGGUGUGAAGUUGAGUCAAACUCAAUGCCCGACCACAGCAGAAGAUAGAGAGAAAAUGAAAGAUGUUCCCUAUGCUUCAGCCAUAGGCUCUAUCAUGUAUGCAAUGCUGUAUACCAGACCUGACGUAUGCUUAGCAAUAAGCCUGGCAGGUAGGUACCAAGGUAAUCCAGGAGUGGAUCACUGGACAGCGGUCAAGAACAUCCUGAAAUACCUAAAAAGGACUAAGGAUAUGUUUCUCGUAUAUGGAGGUGACAAAGAGCUAGUCGUAAAUGGUUACGUCGAUGCAAGCUUUGACACUGAUCCGGACGAUUCUAAAUCGCAGACCGGAUACGUGUUUUUAUUAAACGGUGGAGCUGUAAGUUGGUGCAGUUCUAAACAAAGCGUCGUGGUAGGAUCUACAUGUGAAGCGGAGUACAUAGCUGCUUCUGAAGCAGCAAAUGAAGGAGUCUGGAUGAAGGAGUUCAUUUCCGAUCUAGGUGUCAUACCUAGUGCAUCGGGACCAAUGAAGAUCUUCUGUGACAAUACUGGUGCAAUUGCCUUGGCAAAGGAAUCCAGAUUUCACAAGAGGACCAAGCACAUCAAGAGACGCUUCAAUUCCAUUCGGGACCAAGUCCAAGUGGGAGACAUAGAGAUUUGCAAGAUACAUACGGAUCUGAAUGUUGCAGACCCGUUGACUAAGCCUCUCUCACGAGCAAAACAUGAUCAGCACCAAGACUCCAUGGGUGUUAGAAUCAUUACUAUGUAAUCUAGAUUAUUGACUCUAGUGCAAGUGGGAGACUGAAGGAAAUAUGCCCUAGAGGCAAUAAUAGAGUUAUUAUUUAUUUCCUCAUAUCAUGAUAAAUGUUUAUUAUUCAUGCUAGAAUUGUAUUAACCGGAAACAUGAUACAUGUGUGAAUACAUAGACAAACAUAUAGUCACUAGUAUGCCUCUACUUGACUAGCUCAUUAAUCAAAGAUGGUUAUGUUUCCUAACCAUUGACAUGUGUUGUCAUUUGAUUAAUGGGAUCACAUCAUUAGGAGAAUGAGGUGAUUGACAUGACCCAUCCCGUUAGCUUAGCACUUGAUCGUUUAGUAUUCUGCUAUUGCUUCCUUCAUGACUUAUACAUGUUCCUGUAACUAUGAGAAUUGUGUAACUCCCGUUUACCGGAGGAACACUUUGGGUACUACCAAACAUCACAACGUAACUGGGUGAUUAUAAAGGAGUACUACAGAUGUCUCCGAAGGUACAUGUUGAGUUAGCAUAAUUCGAGAUUAGGUUUUGUCACAACGAUUGUCGGGGAGGUAUCUCUGGGCCCUCUCGGCAAUGCUCAUCACCUAAGCCUUGCAAGCAUGUAACUACUGAGUUAGUUAUAAGAUGAAGUAUUACAGAACGAGUAAAGAGACUUGCCGAUAACGAGAUUGAACUAGGUAUUGGAUACCGACGAUCGAAUCUCGGACAAGUAACAUACCGAUGACAAAGGGAACAACGUAUGUUGUUAUGCGGUUUGACCGAUAAAGAUCUUCGUAGAAUAUGUAGGAACCAAUAUGGGCAUCCAGGUCCCGCUAUUGGUUAUUGACCAGAGAUGUGUCUCAGUCAUGUCUACAUCGUUCUCGAACCGUAGGGUCCGCACGCUUAAGGUUUCGAUGACAGUUAUAUUAUGAGUUUAUGUAUUUUGAUGUACCGAAGGUUGUUCGGAGUCCCGGAUAUGAUUACGGACAUGACGAGGAGUCUCGAAAUGGUCGAGACAUAAAGAUUGAUAUAUUGGACGGAUAUAUUUGGACACCGGAAAGGUUCCGGAGAAGUUUGGAGCCCCGGGAGGUUACCGGAACCCCCCGGGAGGUAUAUGGGCCUUAUUGGGCCCAUGUAGGAGGAAGAGAGAAGGAGCAAGGGAGGGGGGCGCGCCCCCCCAAGACCAAUCCAAAUUGGGGAGGGGGGCCGCCCCCCCCCCCUUUCCUUUCUCCUUCCCCCUCUUCCUAUUACUACUACUAGUACUACUUCCUAAUACUAGUACUCUUUCCUUCCCCCUCCAAAUAAGAUAAGGAAAAGAGAGGGAAACCUACUUGGAGUAGGUUUCCCCCUCCUCAUGGCGCGCCCCCCUAGGGCUGGCCACCUCCUCCCUCCCUCCUUUAUAUACGGGGGUAGGGGGGCACCCUAGNNNNNNNNNNACGCGUACGCUUACGCGAGACUGGUUUCACCGUUACGAGCACUCGUGCUUAAAGGUGGCUGGCGGGUGUCUGUCUCUCUCACUUUAGUUGAAUCGAGUGUGGCUACGCCCGGUCCUUGUGAAGGUUAAAACGGAGUCUAUUUGACAAACUAUCGUUGUGGUUUUGAUGCGUAGGUGAGAUUGGUUCUUGCUUAAGCCCGUAGCAGCCACGUAAAAUUUGCAACAACAAAGUAGAGGACGUCUAACUUGUUUUUGCAGGGCAUGUUGUGAUGUGAUAUGGCCAAGACAUGAUGCUAUAUUUUAUUGUAUGAGAUGAUCAUGUUUUGUAACCGAAGUUAUCGGCAACUGGCAGGAGCCAUAUGGUUGUCGCUUUAUUGUAUGAAAUGCAAACGCCCUGUAAUUGCUUUACUUUAUCACUAAGCGGUAGUGAUAGUCGUAGAAGCAAUAGAUGGCGUAACGACAACGAUGCUACGAUGGAGAUCAAGGUGUCGCGCCGGUGACGAUGGUGAUCACGAUGGUGCUUCGAAGAUGGAGAUCACAAGCACAAGAUGAUGAUGGCCAUAUCAUAUCACUUAUAUUGAUUGCAUGUGAUGUUUAUCCUUUAUGCAUCUUAUCUUGCUUUGAUUGACGGUAGCAUUUUAAGAUGAUAUCUCACUAAUUAUCAAGAAGUGUUCUCCCUGAGUAUGCACCGUUGCGAAAGUUCUUCGUGCUGAGACACCACGUGAUGAUCGGGUGUGAUAGGCUCUACGUUCAAAUACAACGGGUGCAAAACAGUUGCACACGCGAAAUACUCAGGUUAUACUUGACGAGCCUAGCAUAUACAGAUAUGGCCUCGGAACACGGGGACCGAAAGGUCGAGCGUGAAUCAUAUAGUAGAUAUGAUCAACAUAGAGAUGUUCACCAUUGAAACUACUCCAUCUCACGUGAUGAUCGGACAUGGUUUAGUUGAUUUGGAUCACGUAAUCACUUAGAUGACUAGAGAGAUGUCUGUCUAAGUGGGAGUUCUUUAGUAAUAUGAUUAAUUGAACUUAAAUUUAUCAUGAACUUAGUACCUGAUAGUAUUUUGCUUGUCUAUGUUUGUUUGUAGAUAGAUGGCUCGUGCUGUUGUUCCGUUGAAUUUUAAUGCGUUCCUUGAGAAAGCAAAGUUGAAAGAUGAUGGUAGCAAUUACACGGACUGGGUCCGUAACCUGAGGAUUAUCCUCAUUGCUACACAGAAGAGUUACGUCCUGGAAGCACCGCUGGGUGCCAGGCCUGCUGCUGAUGCAACUGACGACGUUAAGAACGUCUGGCAGAGCAAAGCUGAUGACUACUCUAUAGUUCAGUGUGCCAUGCUUUACGGCUUAGAACCGGGUCUUCAACGACGUUUUGAACGUCAUGGGGCAUAUGAAAUGUUCCAGGAGUUGAAGUUAAUAUUUCAAGCAAAUGCCCGGAUUGAGAGAUAUGAAGUCUCCAAUAAGUUUUACAGCUGCAAGAUGGAGGAGAACAGUUCUGUCAGUGAGCAUAUACUCAAAAUGUCUGGGUAUAAUAAUCACUUGAUUCAACUGGGAGUUAAUAUUCCGGAUGAUAGCGUCAUUGACAGAAUUCUCCAAUCACUGCCACCAAGCUACAAGAGCUUUGUGAUGAACUAUAGUAUGCAAGGGAUGAACAAGACUAUUCCCGAGCUCUUCGCGAUGCUGAAAGCCGCGGAGGUAGAAAUCAAAAAGGAGCAUCAAGUGUUGAUGGUCAACAAGACCACUGGUUUCAAGAAAAGGGGCAAAGGGAAGAAGAAGGGGAACUUCAAAAGGAACGGCAAACAAGUUGCUGCUCAAGUGAAGAAACCCAAGUCUGGACCUAAGCCUGAAACUGAGUGCUUCUACUGCAAGCAGGCUGGACACUGGAAGCGGAAUUGCCCCAAGUAUUUGGCGGAUAAGAAGGAUGGCAAAGUGAACAAAGGUAUAUGUGAUAUACAUGUUAUUGAUGUGUACCUUACUAAUGCUUGCAGUAGCACCUGGGUAUUUGAUACUGGUUCUGUUGCUAACAUUUGCAACUCGAAACAGGGACUACGGAUUAAGCGAAGAUUAGCUAAGGACGAGGUGACGAUGCGCGUGGGAAAUGGUUCCAAAGUCGAUGUGAUCGCGGUCGGCACGCUACCUCUACAUCUACCAUCGGGAUUAGUUUUAGACCUGAAUAAUUGUUAUUUGGUGCCUGCGUUGAGCAUGAACAUUAUAUCUGGAUCUUGUUUGAUGCGAGACGGUUAUUCAUUUAAAUCAGAGAAUAAUGGUUGUUCUAUUUAUAUGAGUAAUAUCUUUUAUGGUCAUGCACCCUUGAAGAGUGGUCUAUUUUUAUUAAAUCUCGAUAGUAGUGAUACACAUAUUCAUAAUGUUGAAGCCAAAAGAUGCAGAGUUGAUAAUGAUAGUGCAACAUAUUUGUGGCACUGCCGUUUAGGUCAUAUCGGUGUAAAACGCAUGAAGAAACUCCAUACUGAUGGACUUCUGGAAUCACUUGAUUAUGAAUCACUUGGUACUUGCGAACCGUGCCUCAUGGGCAAGAUGACCAAAACACCAUUCUCCGGAUCUAUGGAGAGAGCAACAGAUUUCUUGGAAAUCAUACAUACAGAUGCAUGUGGUCCGAUGAAUGUUGAGACUCGUGGCGGAUAUCGUUAUUUCCUCACCUUCACAGAUGAUUUGAGCAGAUAUGGGUAUAUCUACUUGAUGAAGCACAAGUCUGAAACAUUUGAAAAGUUCAAAGAAUUUCAGAGUGAAGUAGAAAAUCAUCGUAACAAGAAAAUAAAGUUUCUACGAUCUGAUCGUGGAGGAGAAUAUUUGAGUUACGAGUUUGGUUUACAUUUGAAACAAUGUGGAAUAGUUUCGCAACUCACGCCACCUGGAACACCACAGCAAAAUGGUGUGUCCGAACGUCGUAAUCGUACUUUACUUGAUAUGGUGCGAUCUAUGAUGUCUCUUACCGAUUUACCGCUAUCGUUUUGGGGUUAUGCUUUAGAGACGGCCGCAUUCACGUUAAAUAGGGCACCAUCAAAAUCCGUUGAGACGACGCCUUAUGAACUGUGGUUUGGCAAGAAACCAAAGUUGUCGUUUCUCAAAGUUUGGGGCUGCGAUGCUUAUGUGAAGAAACUUCAACCAAAUAAGCUCGAACCCAAAUCGGAGAAAUGUGUCUUCAUAGGAUACCCAAAGGAGACAAUUGGGUACACCUUCUAUCACAGAUCUGAAGGCAAGAUUUUCGUUGCUAAAAUCGGAUCCUUUCUAGAGAAGGAGUUUCUCUCGAAAGAAGUGAGUGGGAGGAAAGUAGAACUUGAUGAGAUAAUUGUAUCUACUCCCUUAUUGGAAAGUAGUUCAUCACAAGAACCGGUUCCUGUGACAACUACACCAAUUAGUGAGGAAGCUAAUGAUAUUGAUCAUGAAACUUCAGAUCAAGUUUCUACUGAACCUCGUAGGUCUACCAGAGUAAGAUCCGCACCAGAGUGGUAUGGAAAUCCUAUUCUGGAAGUCAUGUUACUAGACCAUGAUGAACCUACGAACUAUGAGGAAGCGAUGAUGAGCCCAGAUUCCGCAAAAUGGCUAGAGGCCAUGAAAUCUGAGAUAGGAUCCAUGUAUGAAAACAAAGUAUGGACUUUGGUUGACUUGCCCGAUGAUCGGCAAGCCAUUGAGAAUAAAUGGAUCUUUAAGAAGAAGACUGAUGCUGAUGGUAAUGUUACUGUCUACAAAGCUCGACUUGUUGCAAAAGGUUUUCGACAAGUUCAAGGGGUUGACUACGAUGAGACUUUCUCACCCGUAGCGAUGCUUAAGUCUGUCCGAAUCAUGUUGGCUAUUGCUGCAUUUCAUGAUUAUGAAAUUUAGCAAAUGGAUGUCAAGACUGCAUUCUUGAAUGGAUUUCUAGAAGAAGAGUUGUAUAUGAUGCAACCUGAAGGUUUUGUUGAUCCAAAAGGUGCUGACAAAGUGUGCAAGCUCCAACGUUCCAUUUAUGGACUGGUGCAAGCAUCUCGGAGUUGGAAUAAACGUUUUGAUAGUGUGAUCAAAGCAUAUGGCUUUAUACAGACUUUUGGAGAAGCCUGUAUUUACAAGAAAGUGAGUGGGAGCUCUAUAGCAUUUCUAGUUUUAUAUGUUGAUGACAUAUUAUUAAUUGGAAAUGAUAUAGAAUUUCUGGAUAGCAUAAAGGGAUACUUGAAUAAAAGUUUUUCUAUGAAAGACCUCGGUGAAGCUGCUUACAUAUUGGGCAUCAAGAUCUAUAGAGAUAGAUCAAGACGCUUAAUAGGACUUUCACAAAGUACAUACCUUGACAAAAUUUUGAAAAAGUUCAAAAUGGAUCAGGCAAAGAAAGGAUUCUUGCCUGUGCUACAAGGUGUGAAGUUGAGUCAAACUCAAUGCCCGACCACAGCAGAAGAUAGAGAGAAAAUGAAAGAUGUUCCCUAUGCUUCAGCCAUAGGCUCUAUCAUGUAUGCAAUGCUGUGUACCAGACCUGACAUAUGCUUAGCAAUAAGCUUGGCAGGUAGGUACCAAAGUAAUCCAGGAGUGGAUCACUGGACAGCGGUCAAGAACAUCCUGAAAUACCUGAAAAGGACUAAGGAUAUGUUUCUCGUAUAUGGAGGUGACAAAGAGCUAGUCGUAAAUGGUUACGUCGAUGCAAGCUUUGACACUGAUCCGGACGAUUCUAAAUCGUAGACCGGAUACGUGUUUUUAUUAAACGGUGGAGCUGUAAGUUGGUGCAGUUCUAAACAAAGCGUCGUGGUGGGAUCUACAUGUGAAGCGGAGUACAUAGCUGCUUCUGAAGCAGCAAAUGAAGGAGUCUGGAUGAAGGAGUUCAUUUCCGAUCUAGGUGUCAUACCUAGUGCAUCGGGACUAAUGAAGAUCUUCUGUGACAAUACUGGUGCAAUUGCCUUGGCAAAGGAAUCCAGAUUUCACAAGAGGACCAAGCACAUCAAGAGACGCUUCAAUUCCAUUCGGGACCAAGUCCAAGUGGGAGACAUAGAGAUUUGCAAGAUACAUACGGAUCUGAAUGUUGCAGACCCAUUGACUAAGCCUCUCUUACGAGCAAAACAUGAUCAGCACCAAGACUCCAUGGGUGUUAGAAUCAUUACUAUGUAAUCUAGAUUAUUGACUCUAGUGCAAGUGGGAGACUGAAGGAAAUAUGCCCUAGAGGCAAUAAUAAAGUUAUUAUUUAUUUCCUCAUAUCAUGAUAAAUGUUUAUUAUUCAUGCUAGAAUUGUAUUAACCGGAAACAUGAUACAUGUGUGAAUACAUAGACAAACAUAUAGUCACUAGUAUGCCUCUACUUGACUAGCUCAUUAAUCAAAGAUGGUUAUGUUUCCUAACCAUUGACAUGUGUUGUCAUUUGAUUAAUGGGAUCACAUCAUUAGGAGAAUGAGGUGAUUGACAUGACCCAUCCCGUUAGCUUAGCACUUGAUCGUUUAGUAUUCUGCUAUUGCUUCCUUCAUGACUUAUACAUGUUCCUGUAACUAUGAGAAUUGUGUAACUCCCGUUUACCGGAGGAACACUUUGGGUACUACCAAACGUCACAACGUAACUGGGUGAUUAUAAAGGAGUACUACAGGUGUCUCCGAAGGUACAUGUUGAGUUAGCAUAAUUCAAGAUUAGGUUUUGUCACUCCGAUUGUCGGGGAGGUAUCUCUGGGCCCUCUCGGCAAUGCUCAUCACCUAAGCCUUGCAAGCAUGUAACUAAUGAGUUAGUUAUAAGAUGAAGUAUUACAGAACGAGUAAAGAGACUUGUCGAUAACGAGAUUGAACUAGGUAUUGGAUACCGACGAUCGAAUCUCGGACAAGUAACAUACCGAUGACAAAGGGAACAACGUAUGUUGUUAUGCGGUUUGACCGAUAAAGAUCUUCGUAGAAUAUGUAGGAACCAAUAUGGGCAUCCAGGUCCCGCUAUUGGUUAUUGACCAGAGAUGUGUCUCAGUCAUGUCUACAUCGUUCUCGAACCGUAGGGUCCGCACGCUUAAGGUUUCGAUGACAGUUAUAUUAUGAGUUUAUGUAUUUUGAUGUACCGAAGGUUGUUCGGAGUCCCGGAUAUGAUUACGGACAUGACGAGGAGUCUCGAAAUGGUCGAGACAUAAAGAUUGAUAUAUUGGACGGAUAUAUUUGGACACCGGAAAGGUUCCGGAGAAGUUUGGAGCCCCGGGAGGUUACCGGAACCCCCCGGGAGGUAUAUGGGCCUUAUUGGGCCCAUGUAGGAGGAAGAGAGAAGGAGCAAGGGAGGGGGGCGCGCCCCCCCAAGACCAAUCCGAAUUGGGGAGGGGGGCCGGCCCCCCCUUUCCUUUCUCCUUCCCCCUCUUCCUAUUACUACUACUAGUACUACUUCCUAAUACUAGUACUCUUUCCUUCCCCCUCCAACUAAGAUAAGGAAAAGAGAGGGAAACCUACUUGGAGUAGGUUUCCCCCUCCUCAUGGCGCGCCCCCCUAGGGCCGGCCACCUCCUCCCUCCCUCCUUUAUAUAUGGGGGUAGGGGGGCACCCUAGAACACACAAGUUGAUCAUUGAUCGUUCCUUAGCCGUGUGCGGUGCCCCCCUCCAUGAUAUUACACCUCGGUCAUAUUGUAGCGGUGCUUAGGCGAAGCCCUGCAACAGGAGAACAUCAAGAUCGUCACCACGCCGUCGUGCUGACGGAACUCCCCCUCGGCGCCUCUGCUGGAUCGGAGAUCGAGGGUGCGUCAUCGAGCUGUACGCGUGUCAAGAACUCGGAGGUGCCGGAGUAACGGUACUUGGAUCGGUUGAACCGGAGGACGUACGACUACUUCCUCUACGUUGCGUCAACGCUUCUGCUUCGGUCUACGAGGGUACGUAGACAACACUCUCCCCUUGUUGCUAUAUCAUCACCAUGAUCUUGCGUGUGCGUAGGAAUUUUUUUGAAAUUACUACGUUCCCCAACAGUCAUGUGGUGGGCCUUGGAGAAACUCAAAGUCCCGGGAAAGUACAUCACCCUCAUCAAGGACAUGUACGAUAAUGUUGUGACAAGUGUUCAAACAAGUGAUGUCGACACUGAUGACUUCCCGAUUAAGAUAGGACUGCAUCAGGGGGUAGCUUUGAGCCCUUAUCUUUUUGCCUUGGUGAUGGAUGAGGUCGCAAGGGAUAUACAAGGAGAUAUCCCAUAGUGUAUGUUCUUUGCGGAUGAUGUGGUGCUUGUUGAUGAUAGUUGGACAUGGGUAAAUAGAAAGUUAGAGUUAUGGAGACAAACCUUGAAAUCAAAAAAAAUUAGUCGUAGUAGAACUAAAACCAAGUAUAUGAUAUGCGGUUUCAGUACUACUAGGCGCGAGGAGGAGGAGGUUAGCCUUAAUGGGCAGGUGGUGUCUCAGAAUGACACCUUUCAAUAUUUGGGGUCAAUGCUGCAAAAGGAUGGGGGUAUUGAUAAAGAUGUGAACCAUCAAAUCAAAGCCGGAUGGAAGAAGUGGCGCCAAGCUUCUGCCAUCUCUGUGACAAGAGAGUGCCACAAAAACUAAAAGGCAGGUUUUACAUGAUAGCAGUUUAACCCGCAAUGUGUAUGACGCUGAGUGUUGGCCGACUAAAAGGCGACAUAUUCAACAGUUAGGUGUGGCAGAGAUGCGCAUGUUGAGAUGGAUGUGUGGCCAUAUGAGGAAGGAUAUAGUUCAAAAUGAUGAUAUACGAGAUAGAGUUAGGGUAGCACCAAUUGAAGAGAAGCUUGUUCAACAUCGACUGAGAUGGUUUGGGCAUAUUUAGCGCAAGCCUCCAGAAGCUCUAGUGCAUAGCAUAUGGAUAAAGCGUGCGAAGAAUGUCAAGAGAGGUCACGGUAGACCGAAUUUGACAUAGGAAGAGUCUGUAAAGAGAGAUCUGAAGGAUUGGAGUAUCAUCACAAAACUAGCUAUGGACAGGGGUGCAUGAAAACUUGCUAUCUAUGUGCCACAACCAUGAAUUGGUCGCGAGAUUUUAUGAGCUUCACCUUUAGUCUACCCCAACUUGUUUGGGACUAAAGGCUUUUUUGUUGUUGUUUGUUGUUGUUGGGAAGCAAAUACACACACUCUACAAAAUACUGAUGCAGCCACAUAAUUGUGUAGGAUGCCUCGGGCAUGGGAAAAUAGUCAACAACCCUACAUCUGCCUUGCUUGUGGGGCUUAUCCAUAGAGAUCGCAUGUUUUUGUACAAUCACCUUUAACUGCCCAUGAGGCCUAUUAUCAGUCUUCUUGGAAAACUUCUUGGUUCCCCGGCUGGACACGGUGGCCCUCUUGGCAGUAGGCUUAGGAGGAAUUACGUAGUUCUCUUCUUCAAACUCUUACUCAAUCUUGUUUCUCGCAGCCCCACUGCCACCAAAACUUGGAUCAUCUCUAGUGAACCGCUUGGAUGAGCAGAGGGCAUCCACGGAAUCGGUUGAAGCUUGAAAACCGAGGUAUGUGAUUUAGAGAAUACAAAGUAUAGAUAAGUGGGCAUGCAUUUAUAUGGAAGUCGAAAAGAUAUGGUCACAGAGCACAAGAAUUUUUUUUGGGCCCUUUGCUUCAGCCCGGGACAGUUUCGCCAGGAGAUUUUCAAUAUCCGGCCGAGGAAAAGAGGUCGGUUUUUUCCCAUGCAAAAAUUGACCAUGCACACAUUUGGAAACACGAUAACAUAGUUGGUACAAGGAACUUAGGACUAGAUACCGUGAAGGGAGUGCGUCCUAAGAUUUCAUAUGAAUAGGAGAAAAUUUUAACCUAGAAACAACCAAGGAGGCAAAGCUCACCAUGGGAGGAGACUCCUAUAGCAAACUUGCCAGUUUCGUCAGUCCUUCCCAUCCUGGUGAUGGACUACGGUAGCUCUGAUGAUGCUUGAUGAAGCCGACAAGAAUCAACCCCAACGGAGACCUCCCCUCCACCAAAUGAAGAAAUUUGCAGUGAAGAAUGUAGAUCGAAGGUGGCGGAGUGGAAGGGAAAGAGGAGCCAGGCCCAGGGUAUCAUAAUAUAAAUUCAUCUCACUAUAGAUGAAAUUUUGCUACAUAUGUACAUAAAAGAGUAUCAUAAAUAUUUAGUAGUUCAUAUGGAAAAGUGAUGCUCAUAUAUGUUCAAUUAAGUAAUUAUCACCUUCUACUUCACAUUUUAGUGUAUAGUUUCAACAUUGUUAAAAGCAUUUAGAACCUACUAUAGUUUGGAUGGCUAGCAAAGGUAGUUAUACCCCCAAUCCACUAAAGAUCAGACUGUGAAUUUUAUCUCCCAGUGUGAAAUGUUUUUGACCAUAAGAUUCAAAGAAUUUUAUCUCCUAUUGCAUUUCUCAUUCCAAAUAUAAUAAGAUACAAAUAUACAUAUUUACAAGGACCCUUACUGGUUUGGGCAGGGAAGAUGAAACGCCUCUCUGAAUGUCAUGACCCCCUAGAAAUCCUUGACCAAUACAUCUUCAUUAAUGGCAAAGGAGAAAGCGCAUUGAGACACUGAAAGAAGAUCUUAAAUAUUUGAUGAAGAAGAUAUUAAUAUCAUAUGCUCUUGGCGGUUUUAUCAAUCUUAAAUCCCUACAACUAACUUCCCCCUUCACUUUCUCUCUUCUUUCUUGUUCGAUUUGAGAGUUGGGAGGGGCGCUUCCGCUCCUCUCCUUCUCUCUAACGGCUUUGGAUUAGAAGCAGUGGCCAAGCUGCGCAUAGCCUAUGGGGUCAGCUGACUCCACAUACCCCACAUCUUUUCUAUAAACAUCCCUUUGUUUUUCUAAAAUUUAUGACAAGUCCUUAAAACUUAAGAAGAUUGACCUGCAACUUAUUAAUGACCUCGUAGGGUUUUUCUGCUGGCGCCAUCACUGAUUAGGAGGUCGGCUUGCUGUUGUAUAUAGUAGGGUUAGGAUUAUAUCUAGUUUGGAGGCUAUCCACGGGGCGUCCCUCGCUAUGUCGCGGCGGAGCUUCAUUUCGACGCUCUCCAGCGACGUCUGAAAGUUGCCCGCCCCCUCUUCCGGUUGCUCUCCAUGGAGGAUGGCGGCUGCCAAAGGACGAUCCGGUGUUCUCUGAGUAUGCUUGGUGAAAGGCUGGAUCGGGUAGCCGGGGGCCUCGUUCCUCUUCUCUUUUGCCAUCACGAGGACAGAAGGGAUGGAGGUGGCAAAGCUGUGACACACCCACUUGGGUCUGGAGUUCCACGCGAAGAAGCUGACAUGUUCAUCAUCAUCCUCUCCCUCAUAAUCAAUAUAUAUGAGGCAAAUCUUUUGUCUUUGUUUAAGAAAAUGUGGAUCUACACGACUCGGUAUUUUCAAAAACAAUAUACAAAACAUAAUCUGAAAUUACACCAUUGAUCCCUUCCUUUCGUGCCCACUCCACUCACACCUGCCCACAACACAGCCCCGGUUCAUUGCAGCAUGUGCAGCCAGCCGCAUCGCCCAACGGUCUCCAACGCGGUCGGCCAAAUGACGCCCAUGCCCAGGCCCCGCGGGCACACCUCCACACCCACCGCCGGGGCUUUAUCCGUCAUUUCGCUCGCCUCCCGUUUUUAGGAAUCAUUCCCCGGUACGGUACCCCGCAGAAAGGCAGAAGCUCCUUCCUCCCCCAAAAAAAGCGAGACGACGGGACGAGACAGCGAGGGCGAGACAGACAGACAGGAGGCCGAGGCCGAGGCCGAGGCGCGACCCACCCAAGCAAGCCCUAGGCGACGAGACGCGACGGCGACGACGGCGGCGGCGAAGGCGUAUCCCGCGUCCGCGUGCCCGGAUUCGGGGCUCAUCCGGUCGGCUCGGCCAUGUCCACCAAGAGGUAACGCGAUUCCCCCGAUUCGAUUGUGCGCACGCCCUGUCUCGCGCGGUUCUAAGUGCGGAUUCGGUAGCGGUAGGGGUUCGCGUGCGCUGGUGUCGCGUGGUGGCUUCCCGUAGGGGUGCCACUGAGCCCUGGAUGGAUUGAGCUGCGUCGAGCUUGCCUGGGUCUUCGUUUCGAGAAUUUUGCCUGGGGCUUUGGAUUGGGGGGAGCCGGAGGUGACAACAUGCGUUUCGUGCUUAGAAUUGGGAGUUGAGCUGGGCGCCGAGAUGUUCCUCCGCGGUAGAGACGCCCACGGGAGUAAGUAAGCUGAUGUGAUGUGAUACGCUUUGACACGAUGCAAGAUUUAACUCUCCGGAGCUUCGAUUGUGUGCCUCCAUUCCUGUGGUUGCGUUACCAUGUUCACAUCCACCAUCUGUGGCGUUCUUUGUGGUGCCCCGCUUUGGGUUAUGAAUCUGUGACCUAUCAAGCGUUUGUUGACCUAUCAAGCGUUUGUUGGGGUUGGUGCUUAGUAUAUCUUCUUUCCGUUGUCUGUGGGUGUGGUGGGAAAGCCUACCUAGAGUCCAGUUACUUCUUGUUUGUUAGCAGCUGAUAGUAUUACGAUUCUGCACGAUUUAGGGUUUCAGAUGGUACCCAUUGGGAAAACUGAUUUUGGAUGGUUAUAUAUACUGUUAUCUGUGUAGAUUGAAUUCGAAGAACUGAUUUCAGUUCGAUUCGAUUGUGGUGUAUAUGUUACUUCUUGGUUCUACAAUCACAAGAUUAUUCUUGGGGACGACUUCCGAGGAUUUAACAAAUCAUUUUUUGUGGGUUUGCGACUAAAAGUUCAGUUAACCUUGCUGUAUAUUAAGGAACUUAGGUAGAGCGAUAAGUACUCCCUCUGUUCCAUAUUAGUUGUCGCUGAAACAAAUGUAUCUAGACGUAUGUCAGUGCUAGAUACAUCCGUUUGAGCGACAACUAAUAUGGAAUGGAGGGAGUAUGUGUUUGCAUAGCUAGGGCCUAUGCUCCUGAGUUGCAAAUUUCUUCACGAACUACAUUCUUAUUACACUCUCUAUUUAACUUGUAAGGAGUAUUCUCCUGGAACCCUGUUCUCUUGUCCUGUAUAGCAAAUACUUACUGCUGUUAACGGAAAAGGUAAAAACUAUAUGAAGUGUGAAAAAAGGGGAAACAAAGAUUUAACCUAAUCUUAGCCUCUCUCGUGAGACAUAACUUCAAAUUCUUAACUAAGUUAUCUAUCUAAGCAUUAACUGCUGCAGCAUUCUUUACCAUCAGUUUACAUUUUGCUUAGAGAAGCAAUAUUGGGCAGGAGAUAGCUCCCGAGAUUCCAUUUUUUCUACUGUCAGAUUAUUUCCUUCCUGAGAUGGAACUAACAAUUUGAUAGUUAGCUUACAUGUCUUUUUGUUCUGACUGAUCUCCUUCAGGGUUCUUUGCAAGUUCUUCAUGCAUGGUGCUUGCUUGAAAGGAGAGUAUUGUGAGUUCUCCCACGACUGGAGUGACCAAGCAAAUAAUGUAACGUGUUAAAAACUAUGGAUGCGGAUCUAGUUUCGUUGCCAGACUUCACAAUGCAUAUCUUGUUGUGUUCCUUACUAUGAUGCUUGUUUGUGCAGGUUUGCACGUUUUACCAGAGAGGCUCAUGCUCUUAUGGUAACCGUUGCAGAUAUGACCAUGUCAAGGUUUCUCGUAACAACCCAGUGCCUCCACUACCAUCAUCAAGUACCGCAACACGUAAUUCCCCACUUCGCCCGCCACCAUCAUCAAGUACUGCGACACAUGUUGCAUCUACAUCUCCACAACUUUUAAGUUCUGGACGUCCUCUUCACUUGGGACACCAAACAAAUUCAAGCAACCAACGGCAACAGAUAUCUAUGGAUAAGCUGGCAGUUUCUGAAAGUAAGCCUGCAUGGAGGAAUGAGGUCCAACUUAACAGUGUAUCAGAGGAUGGGAUUGGCUGGUCAUCCAUUCAAACUGCGCAAAACCAAACUUCCAUGAAACUUGCUGAUAUGCCAAUUUGUUCUUUUGCUGCUGGUGGUAACUGCCCGUAUGGGGAAGAGUGUCCUCACAUGCAUGGGGAUUUGUGUGCGUUCUGUGGGAAAAUGUGCUUGCAUCCUUAUCGUCCUGAUGAGAGGCAGGAGCAUAUCAAGCUAUGUGAAAAGAACCACAAGCGUCUUGAGGCUUUGAAACGUAGCCAAGAAAUAGAAUGCAGUGUCUGCUUGGACCGUGUGCUCUCAAAGUCUACUGCUGCAGAAAGGAAAUUUGGACUAUUAUCUGAAUGUGAUCAUCCCUUCUGUAUUUCAUGCAUAAGAAAUUGGCGUGGCAACUCUCCUACAUCUGGUAUGGAUGUGAACUCAGCACUGAGAGCUUGCCCAAUAUGCCGCAAACUUUCGUACUAUGUCAUUCCAAGUGUUCUUUGGUACUUCUCGAAAGAGGAAAAGUUGGAGAUCACUGAAAACUACAAAGCAAAGCUCAAGUAAGAUAGGCUUGUCCUGUUUUGUGGUCUUGUGCCCCAGCUUUAUAUAAGUAAAACUAGAAUGCUACAAAUAUUUCAGUCAUUGAACUUAUCCUUACUUGGAUGAAUGAGCCGUAUCAAUUUACUAGAAAUGGCACUUCUAAUUAUUUUGCCUCACAUGUUCUUAUUUCCUUUUCUUUGAAUAUUCAAGCCGAUAUGUUUCAUGGAAGUGAUUUAACAUGAACAUACUAUGCUCCUUAGUACUUGAUUAUCAUUCUACUGUCUGACCUACAAGUAUACCAUUGCAGGUCAAUAGAUUGCAAGUACUUCGAUUUCGGAACGGGCACUUGCCCCUUCGGGACAAGCUGUUUCUACAAGGUGACAUACUUCUUACAUUCUAUAAACAUGUGAAUACACAUCUGCCUGCCCUAUCCAUAUAGUUUGAGUUCACUACCAGGCCAGCUCCAUCCCAGCGCUGUUGGCAGUAACUUGUUUAUUCGGAACACUGGUAGCUAAUAAUGACCCUCUCCUCCGUCUGUUGGUCUACUGGAAACAGCCCAAUUUACUUUGUUUUGAUUCCAAGAGUCUUUUGUGUCCUCUCUAGUAUUAUCAUCAGUUACAGUUAUGCACUCCUCAGUUACCACUGCUUAAUAGUCCUUGUUAGUUAUUUGGUGGAUAAAGAUUGGAAUGUGUAGACCAAGGUUGGAGUUUAUGUUAUGUUCAAGUUUGCAUGUGUUUUAGGGGAUAUGAUAUUUGAUUUCUUGCCGAUUAUUUUCCUAGAUGGCUUCAUUUAUUGUAGAAACUGUGGAUAUGAUUGUUGUAGCUUGCAAUGUUAAUUGAUCGGUCUUUCCUCUUAUUUGUCUUCUAUUUUUGACUCAAUCUUGUAUCGUUUAUGUUUUGCAGCAUGCUUACAGAGAUGGCCGCUUGGAAGAAGUCGUAUUGCGACAUCUUGAUUGUGAUGAUGGAAGUACACUUAUUGCUAAGAACAUUAGGUGUGUGUUCUCUAUCUGUUUUAUGCAGUCUGCAUAUUUUACUUCUCCUUAUUUUUCUCCUGUAUUGCUGUCACAUUCUAGGUUGUCAGACUUCCUCGGCCGGUUGCAUCUUUAGGGACCUGCUUCAUAUAUAUCGAAUGUAAGUUCUUUUGGGGGGUAUGCAACCAACUCAAUUAUACUAUUUUGGUGAAGUCGCGUGCAAGUAAUGCCCAUUUUCCAUCGUUAAUGUCAUUUAUUUGCUGUUGUGGGAGAUAGUCAUGCUGCUGUUCCACUGUUGGAAAAGGCAACGCUUGAGCGCUAGGCAAUGACCAAAAGCCUUGCCUAGGGCAUAAGCGAAACUCUAGCCAUGGCAAGUAAGAAAUUGUCCACUCAAGUGAAAAAUCAUGUCAUACUGCACUGACGGACCAAAUUGGCCAUCUUCCAAUUGCAAUAGCUGGUAGUUUACUCACAUAUAUUCUCCAUUGAUAUCGUUACACAUAUAAUAUCCCAAAUACAACAUGGUAGUCAAAAUUGUACGUCUGCCUAAGGUUGCGCCUAGGGUGCUUAAGCACCACCUAGGCGCUAGGCGAAGGUCAACUGCCUUGCUUAGGCCUAGCGCUUUUUCCAACCUUCCACUGAUCAAUUUCAGUGCUUGUAGUUAUGUUCGUAUUUCCACUGGCUGAAUUGAUUUUAUCGAACUUGUGCAAUCACGACGCCUGACAUUUACUAACAGCACUGCAUCCAUUCUUCUCUUAUUUUUUGGUGUUUUAUUCCUACCAAACUACUCUUUUAAUCAGUUGAUAAUGUGAACUGGAAAAUUUGCAUCCAGGCAUCAAUCAUUCUGAGAUUUCGCUGUCUACCAACUAUUUGCAGUAUUCCGAAGACAUCAGUUUAAAUCGAGGCAUCUUGGAAAACUGCUGCUUUAUCUCCAAUUUUUUUGGUGGUUGCUUUGUCGCCAAACAUACAAAGGCAAUCCUUUUGUGCUGAAAAAGCUAUCAUUCCUGUCUCAUGCAUAAACUCUUACAUAACCAUUUGUGCCUAACUUCAGCACUGCUCGUUAAUGCAGAAAAUUCGAAGUUCGCUGCCGGACGCCUGGAUGACCUUGUAGCGCUAUUGACCAGUGAAACAAUGGAAAAGAAGUUAUGCUGCGAGUACUUGAAAAGUGAAAAAAAUUACAAUAAUUAGAACUGCUGAAACGCCUUUCCGUAUGCACUUUGUGUUGCUUCCUGGGUGGUCACCAGUGAUUCGGUAGAACGUUACCUGGCCAUUGUGCGAACGACCGGUGUGUAAUACUCAUUUCCAAACUGCCAUUCCCCUGUUGAGGAAGGCUACCGCACCAACAACUGGUGAACUGAGACCGUUUGGUUGUAUAACGUGUACGCUGGAGGAAAAAGGAAAAGAAUUCAAAGAAUCGCUUUAUACUUGAUUGUAUGAAGUUUGUUUGGUCAGAUGCUUGCCCAUGAAAUAUGAUUGAAUUUGAUCGUGUUUUAAGCUCAUGAUAUAAGACUGAUAAUUUCAUCAGUUCCACAACAUAUUUUUGUAACGUGAAUUCUG